GUUGCCACGGGCCGGUGAAAUCGCCAAAGUCCAUGCUCUUUGCCCACAACUCCAGUGUCUCAAUGUCCUCUAGUGCACCAAGGCCGUGAGGUAUUUUUAUUGUUGCACCUUUGAAGUCUAGCUUUAAAUCUCUUAGCUUGUGUAGGCUUGAAAUUCCACUCAAAUCCACAGCUAACUCCUCAAAGGAAUAAAGCUCCAGCUCUUCCAAGUUGAAUAAUUGGGGCACUAAUCCAAAGUUGAGAUUUCUGGUAGCCUUGCAUUUCAAAACCUUCAGUGAUGUCAAGCUGAAGAGCGCAUCUGGUAAUAUUGUCACACUUGAUGGUACAAGGCACAUCUCUCGAAGGUCAAGCACUUGAAGGUUUCUCAGCUUGGAUAUGCUCUCUGGAAUAAAAGGGACCAAAUUAUCGCAUCCCUUGAAGCUCAAUACCUUGACAUUUUGGAUGUGAUCUAUAAUAAGACUGACAUCCACACCAGAAAUUUCAUGACAUCCAUCGAGAAGCAAGACAUCUCGCACAUGAAUGUCAGACAAAAGGCUGCUUGUAACCUUCUUUCCAAUGAAUGAAACUUUAGAAAAUGUUGGAGAAAUCCCAGGUGGACAAUCAUAGCCAAACAGGCAUCCCUUCUCGUGCUCUUCCUGGGGUGGGUACUUCCCUUUCAAGAUUCUUAUGCACAGCUUGCGUACCAUAUCGUGCACAGUUACAGACUUUUCCCGAAGUCUUUUCCCACUUAAAUAUGUCUUCACUAGGCAUCUUCGUUUCAGUUCACUAACAAUCUGCAGAGGCGAGAGUUCUGACCCAACCGCUAUCCAACAUUUUCUCAGAUCAUCAAAGUCGAUUUGCUCAUCUUCUGGAAACGCAGCCACAUAGAGAAAGCACUCUUGCAGCUUUUCAUCCUUAUUAAAGCGUCCCAGCUCGUCAUAGCUAAACUUCAAGCGCUGGAACAUCCGCUUCUCAAUGUCCCCGUCAUUCAACAAAUGCAUCUUCUGAUAGCGUUCUUUCCACACCUGUGGCCCCUCAUUCCUGUAGACAGCCAUGGCACUGCCAAUCACUUCAAGAGCUAAAGGGAGCCCCUCACAUUUGCUAGCUAUUCUCUCGGCAACUUUCACAAUGUCCGGAUCACUAGGUAGUGAAUCAUAAAAGGCAAACUUCCAAAACAUCUUUUUGCUCUCGUCCUCUGAUAGCUUAUGCACAGGAAAUACCUUUGCACCCAGCUUGCUCAAAAUGUCUUCCUUUCUGGUUGUUACCAGCACCCGGCUGUAAGAGGACAGCCCUGCUAUAAAAUCCAGUCCCUUGGCCAAGCUCAUCUCCCACACAUCAUCCAGUAUCAGCAAGACACGAAUUCCACGAGCAACAUUUUGUGCCAAGUGCUGCACAUGCUCAAGGGUGCCUGCAUUUUGGGCCCUCUCUUUCAUGCCGCCCCAGUCAAGAGCGUUGAGGAGCUGGGCCCUGAGAUCAUCCUCCGAUGCAUCUUUCUUGACAGUGAUCCAUACAAUGUUGUCAUGGAAAUGCUGCCGGACCCUCUGGUCAUUGUGCACGAAGCUUGCAAGGGUGGUCUUGCCACACCCUCCCAUUCCCAGGAGUCCAAACCAUUUCCCCGGGGCUUGUGGAUCCAGGAGGGCAUUCACCACCUCAUCCAGCUGCUCCCCAUGGCGGCCAAACAUGUCGUUGGCCUCGGGAACACCAUGCCGUACAUAGUUUACGAGACCUCUGUCUUGUGGACAACUCCGUACGGAAAAGCUGGUGCUCGGCUGUAUCCCUCUCAACUCUCGCUCGUACCUUUCAAUGUGCGGGAGGAGAUCGUUCUCGCAAGUGCGUACCAGCUCCGAAAUCGCGCCAGAUCGCUUCUCCCUGCGCGACAGAUCCAUCUUUUAGCUCCAUUGCUUCAAACAUGAAUUCGAAUAAGCCUUACUGUGAUCCAAGCAGCGCUUGCGCCUUCUUAGUCCAUUCAGUCAGUUCAGUCAGCCACGCCUCAGCCUCACCAGAGUAGCGGAAAUCUGGAUUCCUGUGCUUGGGAGCAUUAAACUUGUCAAGCGUGGCCUGGAUUCUGGAUGCCCUCUUCUUUAGCUCCUCAAUGUGGACAUUCAGCUCAUGCUCGUGACCUUGGAUCUGCGACAGGAGAUCGCCGUAGGCACUUAAGGACUUCGCGAUCUCGUUACUCCGCUUGUACCUAUAGGAAGUGGAGAAGUUCAACCAGCUGCCUGCCAUUUCUACACACACACACACAAAAGAUAAAAUGCUACUGUACCGACCGCUUUAUGGGGCUCCAGAUCCUGUUGUGGCGUGAUCCCAAGAGUGCUUGUGCCGUGGUGUUCCAUUUCCUGACACGCUCCAAGCAUUCCUCGGCCGCUUGAGAGAACGUGAAGCCAGGAUUCUGCUGCUUGUGAUCACUGAAAGCGUUGAUCUUGUGCCGGAUGUGGGGCGCCUUGUUCUCCAGCGUUUCAAUGUUGGCAUUGCAGUCCCAUAUCUUCUUAGCAGGGCGCAGAGCCAAGCCACACAAGGCGCUUGCCAAGGAGCCCACAACCUCCAUGCCUGUAGACCUACAAGUCAAGGUCGUUUCCCUCUUGCAAUGCCAGCUGUGGCUCUCUAUCUCUCUCUCUCUCUCAUACACAAAAUAGCUGGGAGGCCUUGACAGAUUUUCGAUGGCCUGCACAAACCAAACCAGUUCUCGUGGAACAUCUUGCUGCGAACGUAUGUUGCAAAUCGUAGGAUGCCCCCGAUUCCAUGGGAACAGGUUUAUGGAUGAGGAAAAGAAGCUGUUUGAUUCGAUCGCUUCUCGUGAAAUAUUAUGAUCAAGGGGCUCGACUUCGCAAAGAGGAAAGAUGCUAUCUCUUCUGGCAGCACCUGCUCGAAUAAGGCAUUUGGAAGAAGCAAAAACUCUCCUUUUAAUGCGAUGCCUCGGAGGAAAAACGUGCUUGCAAGAAACACAAUGAUUGUCAACCAUACGCUCUCAAAGAGCCUAUUUGACCAGAGCCAUACAGGAAUCUUGUGUCUUGGGCAGGCAUGCUACAACGCAUCUUUAAAUGAAGGUGGAAGUUGCAACUUCGAUGAUGCCGAACUAAAACUCUCUCUCAUAACUCUGGCUCUCUCUCUCUCUCUCUCUCUCAAUAAUAACGUUUUGAGCAGCUGUUCUUCCAUCCAGGCAUUUGCUGUAUUCGUUCAUCUUUGCAUAAACCCCAGCGACCUUCACAACAUAAGAGCUAGAGUGAUUCACGGUGAGCACUGCAACGAUUGCUACCUCGCCAAUCUCAUCGUCCAAAAGUAUGGGGGGCUGUGGGGUACUCGACAGAUGUUCACUGGAACAUCUUUCUGGGAAAAAUCGGUUGAGCGGAGAUCCAAGAGCGAUGUGGUCGCAUGGAACUUGAUCCUCGCAGCGUAUGCCUAAAACGCUCAGUCUAAAGAGAUGUUUCUUUAGAAAAACAAUGAUCAUUCUUUGUUUUACGAGCACGCAAAGUACUUGUGUCUGAGAGUAUGAGCAUCGUCUUGUCUCUUGUACGGCGUUGAUGCAGGCGUUUUGAAAUAUAUGGCUCCUCUGCCGAUCUUUGAUGGGAUCAUGGCGAUCUUGUCACCGACGUCUUGAAAGAUCUUAGAUACUAUCCACGAUCGCCCAGUCGCCUCCUCGAACGCGAUCAUGGCGAUGGGUGCUGCAUAUCAUUCUAUUCCCACCCGGACGUGAUCUGCAAUUAUCGUCUUUACUUCUCCAUUCUAGGGUUCUUUCUUGGAGGGGAUUUAGGUUUUUAAUUGCCCGCGUGAUCGAUGCGGCUUGCCGGCGGAGAAGGCUCAGAAAUCCCCAUUACCUUGUGCAGCUCCAGAACGCCGAUCAAGGCCGCCCCCAGCGCCGUCUCCUUGACAACGAAAGCUUUCGGGCCGUGCGGGAUGUCCUUGGCAGCGAUGUCUGCGACAUGGAUCUCGUCCACGCGCUACACUUGGCGAGGAACGAUUUGCAAGUGGCCGUGCUCGACACUCCGGGUUUUAGAAAUAGGAAGAGGCUCCAGGCGAGGAACGAUUUGCAAGUGGCCGCCCACAUUGUGCUCGACACUCCUGCAAAAAACUCCUGCAAAAGCUGAGGCUUCUAGGACAGCAAAAAUUUCCGAGGUGAGCAAUGAUAGUGGAGCAGAGGAUUUAUAUGAUUCGGGAGUAGAAAGUGGAGCAAUCGAUGGUGGGGAAGAAGAGGUAAACAAGAUUAUGACUGGAGGAGGAAACGAUGCCGAGGUGGAAAGAACAACAGUGGUGGAGAGCUCCAUUGAGACUGUCAGGAAACAUGGCGAGGCUGUUUCUAGCGCCUUAGCUGGACUUUCAAUCAGAGGUAGUGCCUUGACCCACGGUAAUCCCGUUAAGAUGGAAGCUGGCUGUGAUUCCGUGAAAGCUGAAGCUUCGGUUUCGAUCGCAGCUGGAUGUGAUCCUACGAAAGUAGAUGGCUUGGUGAAGAUGGAAGCUGGUUGUUUUAGAUGCAGAGAGGUGGUGGCUUCUCCAAGAGACUGAAGUUGCCGGGUACUCGACGUCCAGGGGAUGCCGGAUUCGAGUUGGCGAGUUCGUGUCCUUCAAUUUUCCCAAGCCUGAAGCCGAAAGUAAGAAGAAGUUCUUUGAGCACAAGAAGGUUCGGCCGAAAGCAAGCUCCGACAUUGUAAGGUUCUUGACAAAAGCUUCAGGAGAGGUACGUUUCACUUGACUUGUUUCUUCGUUUUAAUUCUAACCAUUUGCUCACAGAGAGGACGGCUUCCAGCCGACUGGUGAUACCUUUGGGAAGUGCAAAAUGGCACCAGAGGCUCUUUCUCUUAUGAGCAGCAUAGUUCUCCAUUUGAGGUAGAGUUUUCUGUGUUUACCAGAGACGUUACGUAUAUGAUGUGCUUGCAGAGUUUAAAGCCUUACGAGGAGGGGGAUGAGCGCGGAUUGAAGCUUCUGCAAGCUAUCUUGAAGCCGUUAAUGCUUCGAAGAAAAAAAGAUUCAACUGAUAAAGAAGAAAGGUAAGCAUUUUUUUCUUUGCACCGUGCCUUGUCUUGUAUUCACUCACAAGUUGGAUUCACAGACCAAUUCCUGUUCUCCAACCGGCUCAAUGUGAAGUUAUUGAAUGCAAACUAUCUGAGCCUGAAUGCCCUUUACCACAGAUCUAAGGCAUGAAGAACUUCUCUUUCUUUUAUUUUCUCGUUUUUUCUGAACACGUUUUUGCUUUUGUGAUCAGGUAAAAUUCGAUCAGUUCGUUGAACAAGGUAAAGUUCUCCAUAACUAUGCCUCGAUCCUCGAACUGCUACUUCGAUUACGGCAAGCUUGUGAUCAUCCUUUUCUUGUUCUGAGGUAGAAAAUGCAUCCUCUUAUGUCUGAAGUUCCUGACGUUUUCUUCGUCACGCAGCCGUGGCGAUACUGAAGACUUUGCGGACCUGGGAAAGCUGGCUAGACGUUUCUUGGACAAGAAUUCCUCCCAGGUGCCUUCGACGGCUAUGUCAAAGAGGUGGUGGAUGAUAUUCGUAAAGGAGAAAGUGCUGAGUGCCCAAUUUGUUUGGAGAUGCACGCAGUUCUUACACCAUGCGCUCAUUGAAUGUGAGCGCCGGAGGUCCCUGUCCAAUAUCCGAGGUAACAUAUUGUUUUUUUUCUCGAGCUCUUUUCCAUAUCCAUAGCUAUCAUGCAGGCGUUCCUGUACGAAAUAGGAACUCAUAACUGUACCAACAAGUAAUCGGUUUCGAAUAAAUGUCGAGGAGCAGUGGAAGGAGUCGUCCAAAGUCGAGGCUCUGCUGCACCACCUCCAGACGUUAAGUGAGGCCGGGUCGAAAAGCGUUGUUUUUAGUCAGUGGACAGCGUUUCUCGACUUGUUAGAGAUACCAUUGAAAAGGUACGAGCGUCUUUCCUUUUGGUGCUUUCUCUUUGUUUGUGUUUCUAACAAUGCACUGCCAGGAAGAACUUCUGUUUCGUCCGCUUGGACGGAACACUAUCGCAGCGUCAGCGAGAACAAGUGCUCAAAAACUUCAGCAAUAUUCCAGCCGUGGCCGUAAGCUUUUCGUGUUGCUUACCUCCAAGAAACCACUCUAUUUUGUGGACAGGUCAUGCUCAUGCUUUUCUCAUGGUAUGCGCUAUAGUUAUCUUUUUUAGCCAUCUUCCGAGUCGAGCAUCGGUCAGACGAAGAACGUAUCGAUCAAGCGAUUCAUCGUCAAAGUAAGCGCCAGUUGAAACUCUCUUUGACGUUUCUCAUGUCUCUAGAGCAGGACUCGGUGGAGGAGAGAAUGCAACAGGUCCAAGCGAGGAAGCAGCGAUUGAUCGCGGGGGCUCUCACAGACGAAGAGGUGCGAAGCGCUCGAAUCGAGGAGCUCAAAAUGCUAUUUAGAUGAGAAGAACUGGAACAUAGUUAAAGAGGGGAAUAUUAAAGAGGGGAAUAUGCUUCUAGCAUCGGCGCGUAGAUAGUUCAUAGGCUAUGGAUAUAGGAGCUUUGGCUAGGUUACAAGCAUUUCUAGGUUUCUUCGCGGCUAUGGCGGACAGCGAAGGAGCAGGCGAUCGCGUCGCAAGCGCGUUUGAUUCCGGCAGCAUCGGCGACGAGCAAGGUAUGCAUGCUAGGAUCGCCUCGAGAAGCAGCAGCAGCGCCGGCGCCGGCGCCGCGCCGCGAUUUCGCUGGCCUAGAGCCGAGUAGCCGAUCUAGAUUCAUGCAAGCAUAUGAUCUCUAGGAAAUUGAGCUGAACGCUGAGGCUUUGCAGGCGAUCGCGUCGAUUCCUCUGGUCUCCGCGGCCGGGGCGGCUAGAAAGCCGGGGCGCAUUCUAGAGUUUCGGGGUUUCUGGGGCGAUCAGUCAUGUAGCGGGCAGUGAUUCUCUCACAGGGAGCUGGAAGUCAGCCAUGACGUGGAAUCCGCCACAAGUUCCUCCCAGCUUGUCCGCCUUGACUGCCACUACUCAGGCCGACGAUGAACUGGGCGUGGAUGUGUCGUCUCCCAGCGGCGAUUUGCUACUCCAAUUUCUCAAGAGUGGUGGGGGCGACGAGCAGCUGAGGAGCAGUAGCAGCUACAGGACCCAGCAGUCGCAGCUCACGGUCCCUGCCACAGCUUUGCUCCUUCUGGAGGAGGAGGAGAAGGUCCUCCUCCACGACCACUCUACGUCCCAGCAACAAGAUUUGGUGGGUGGUCACCUCACUUCCAGCGGCACCAAAACCCACUUUUCCCUUCGGAUCCAUUCUUGACUCCGUCGGACCACUGAUUUCGACGCUCGUUUGCUCCUCUUCCAGUCGAGAGACCGUUCCAUCCGCCAGUGCCGUAUCCUUCUCCAAAUGCUCCGACUUUCCAGCCUGCUGAUAAUGUGGUUCAUCCGCCGCAUUCCUCUGGGGAGCUUAAAGCUCGUCCUGGCCUUCACUUCGAGUCUCCGGUGUUUGGACCCAGCGCAGCAGAGACCUCGGACUCCAAGCGCGCCCCAGAGCAGCCGAGGAGAUCGGUUACACCUGCGAAGGAUGACAAGCAACAAUUCCACGGCAAUGGUUCCGAGCUCCUUCAGUUGUUACAGGGUGGUCCUGGUCGUGUGAAGCCCACAGCCUCCACAAAGGUGGAUGCUACACAGGACAGUGGGGAUUCUGGAGAGCCAUCAAAGAAAGGAAGUCCAUCUGCUGUUCACGGCCCCAUAGGACCGCCGAGGCGUCAUGUCGUUUCUCCUCCGCAGAGUCCAAAUGACCUCCUUGGACGUUUGUGGGCUGCUCUUCCGUCGUCAAGCCACACUUCGUUUGACGGAGAAAGCGAAUGCAAGACGUCAGCCCGGAGCUUUGGCGUUGAAGUGAACGAGAUGUCCCGGGAAGUCGAUGGAGGUGGAGCUGCUGGUUUCGCACUUUUGAAGCGAAGGGGAUCGGAGCCUGCCGCCUCGCACUACCUUUAAACGACUACGACUAUAACGACUCUUAAGACAAAUGAUAAGCCGAGGACAAACUCAGCAUCCGGAAGACUACAGGACUAUCGUGGGAGAUACGUAAAUGGAGAGGCCGAAUUUGAGCCCGGAGGCGAUGACUUUAGAGAUGCGGGAAGGCGUCGAGGUCCCGGUCGUGCAGACGCCAGACGCGGUGGUCGGGGUGCUGUUGGCCAGUGGAUUGCGGUAAGUGAGAGGCAUAAAGAUGCUGAGCCAAGUGACAUCACCUCCUGCGGUAUCUCUGAUGGAAGGGACGAGUCGCUUAAAUCUUGAAACGGGACUUAGUCGAAUGCUCGGAGAAAACAUCAACAGGAAUGGAGGAUAAAACAGGCCGACUCAAAGGCAGCAUUUCCAGCGGAGGAAAAACCGGACUACAAGGUUCCAAAGGCACGGUCUUUGGCAUCUCAACUUGAACGUCCAGGCUUGCCAUCGGGAAGUACGCAAAUCUCUUCCGUUGGUGCGGCUUUUGAGGAGUCCAAACAGCGGCUCCAUAAUCUAGAUGCUUUGGAAGGAGAAGGCGUGACGACCUCUCUAGAUCUCGAGGAGCUACAAAUUGACGGUCACCGUCGUGAGGGUAAAGCUCCACAGUUUACAAGGUUUGUGCUUGCUUUUUUUCUUUCUUUAUUUUCAUGUGUUUGUAUCUCUGGUUACAGCCGAAGGAGAACCGUUUCAGGGAGUCCAGACGCGUCAUUCCCAUGCACAGACGUGAUCUUCUUUACCGACUGGAUCUGCUGAGUUUCACUCGUGAGCUUUUCUGCCUCUACGACGAGCUUAUACCAACCGAAGAAGGGGAGGUCCGGAGAAGGAAGUUCUUCUCGAAGCUUAAGUCCCUUUUCGAGAGGGAGCUCCCGGGAACACGGCUCUUUCUUUUCGGAUCGUGUGUUAAUGCGUUUGGAGUUUGUAACAGUGACAUCGAUGUUUGCCUCUCCAUUGAUGAGGAAGAACCAAACAAGAUCGAAACUCAACGUGACUCAUGGGAUAGUUUCUUAUCCGAAUUCUUAGCCAUCCUCCGAUCCAGAGAACUUUCCUUUCAUUGUUCUUGGCAACAGGGUUGAUGUCGAUGGAGAGAACAGUAGAGUGGUGAGCUCUUUUGUUUCAUCUCUUGCCUCACUUUAAAGCUUGUGUGUCCAGGUUUCCGAGAAGAAAGCCAAGGCCUGGUGUGCUUCCAAGGGAAACAUUCUAUACUUUGAGGCGUCUGCCAAGGAAGACUACAACCUGGAGGCUGCGUUUCAAUGCAUUGCCAAGAAUGCCUUGAGGAGCGAACCCGAGGAAGACUUGUAACUUUUGCUUGUUUCUUCUUGUGAUGUUUCAAGCUCACAUUUAACUUCUGGCAGCAGCUAUCUUCCAGAGACAAUGGACAUUACAAAUAACAACAGAUGGCCAAGAUCGUCUGGCUGCGAGUGCUGAUCUACUACUACUGUCCCUCUAUCGAUGAGUGUUUUCGCUUUCAUUUUAUAUGUUUUUUUAAUUUCUUUUUAUUUUUACUCUCUCCUUUCGAUCGUUGGCCUUGGAUUUUUUCCCUUCUCAAUUUUUUUUUCUUUUUGCUACGAAAUAAUUUUUCUUCUUCGAUCUUGUAUCUAUUUACUACUAGUAGUGUGCAAAUUCUUGUGUUUGUGUAUUAUUAAAUUUUCUUCGUUUCUAAUGGAUUGCUAGUUGACGAUAAUUGUGUCACAACAUGCCUAGUUUUUCUGGAUUCCACAAGUCUGGGUUGAAAAUAAGCAAAGGCUGUGAUUGACACAAGAGUUUCCAAUCCUUGGCAGUGAUGCAACUUCGAAGCUGUGUAACCCUUUCAUUGUCUUAUUCAGCCACCAACUUCAUUGUCCAAAAGUAUGGGGAAUGUGGCAAUGUGGAUGGCUUGCACAAACCAAACCAAUCAGGAUCGAGAGAGAUCGCGCUACAUUGAUCUCGAAAGUGCAUAUUCUUAAUAUUGUUAUGUUUUCCAUAUUUUACCAUUUAUUCUAUACACAAGGUUUUAAAAUACUAGUAAUAUCGAUUUGUAAGAAAAAAAAAGAAACUGUUUCUUCUCCAAACGCUGCUGACGCUGUGAAAUCUCUGUUUUCGUUUUUUGAUGUCCUGCUUGUGAUGCAAAAUAGUCGCAGAUCUUCAAGAACCCAAUCAACGUCCACGGAAGGAGCAAGGUUUAUUAGGCGCCGAAACUUAUCUGGAGAUCCGGCCGUUCCACAAGCCAAGGUGGAACUUUCGUACCUUUUGGGCACCAUAGGAAUUUGAGCCUUGGAAAUAAGUGAUUGUCUGAACUCAAUUGGGGCCACACUACAUCAUCAUGAUCAGAGAGCACAAGUUCCUCCAAUCCUGGAAGGGAUGCAAUGGAUGAUGGAAUAUCUUCGAUCCCAGACAAGCGCACACGUCUUAAAAGAGUCAUUUGGUCUGUUGGCUCAAAGAAAUCAUUGGGGAGCUUACAGCGCAAAGAUAAUGUGAACCGUUUCACCUUCAGCUGUGAUCUCUCGGUUGGCAUCAAGAGUCUCCUCAUGUAACUUUUUAUAUCAACAUCCAGUGUAUCAAGGUCUUUGGGGAGUUGUGUCACAAAGAGAGGCAAAUGCUCCCAUGCAUUAUCAGGAGCCAGAUUGAAUGUUAAACUUUUCAGGUUUGGAAGACUUGCUGCCAAAUCGUCCUUGAACUCGGACUGUGCAAUGUGCAGAUUUCGAAGCUCCAGACGUUCGAGGCAUGGGAACGAUCCAUCCAGACUGAAGAACUGGAUACCAAUGCAGUCUAGGAGAAGUUCUCGUAGCCGUUGAAAGCCCUUUACCCAACACAAGUCUUUCAUUGUCUCAUUCUUUCUGAUCCAUAAAAUUUGUAACUGUGACCAUUCAAGGCUUUCGGCAUUGUUUUCACCAUCUCGUACCCCGUCAAUGGAAAAGCUCCAAAGCUGUUUGGAAUUCUUAAACAUUCGCUUCCAGUCAAGUUUGAUAGUCGAUUGCACGCUAAUGUCACAUCGUCUUAGAUUGACAAGUUGCCACAGGCUGGUGAAAUCACCAAAGUCCAUGCUCUUUGCACGCCACACCAGUGUCUCAAUGCCCUCUAGUGCACCAAGGCUGUGAGGUAUUUUUAUUGUUGCACCAUAGAGGUUUAGCUUUAAAUGUCUUAGCUUGUGUAAGAUUGAAAUUCCACUCAAAUCCACAGCUAACUCCUCAAAGGAAUCAAGCUCCAGCUCUUCCAAGUUGAAUAAUUGAGGCAGUAAUGCAAAGUUGAAUUUUCUGAUGUCAUUGCAUUUCAAAACCUUCAGUGAUGUCAAGCUGAAGAGCGCAUCUGGUAAUAUUGUCACACUUGAAUAUAGAAGGUCAAGCACUUGAAGGUUUCUCAGCUUGGAUAUGCUCUCUGCAAUAAAACGGACCAAAUUAACGCAUCUAUUCAAGCUCAAUACCUUGACGUUUUGGAUGUGAUCUAUAUCCACACCAGAAAUUACAUUACAUCCAUCGAGAAGCAAGACAUCUCGCACAUGAAUGUCAGACAAAAGGCUGCUUGUAACCUUCUUUCCAAUGAAUGAAACUUUAGAAAAUGUUGGAGAAAUCCCAGGUGGACAAUCAUAGCCAAACAGGCAUCCCUUCUCAUGCUCUUCCUGGGGUGGGUACUUCCCUUUCAAGAUUCUUAUGCACAGCUUGCGUACCAUAUCGUGCACAGUUACAUACUUAUACCAUGGAGAACCAGUUGUCUUCACUAGGCAUCUUCGUUUCAGUUCACUAACAAUCUGCAGAGGCGGGAGUUCUGACCCAACCGCUAUCCAACAUUUUCUCAGAUCAUCAAACUGGAUUCGCUCAUCUUCUGGAAACGCAGCCACAUAGAGAAAGCAUUCUUGCAGCUUUUCAUCCUUAUUAAAGCGUCCCAGCUCGUCAUAGCUAAACUUCAAGGGCCGGAACAUCCGCUUCUCAAUGUCCCCGUCAUUCAACAAAUGCAUCUUCUGAUAGCGUUCUUCCCACACCUGUGGCCCCUUAUUCCUGUAGACAGCCAUGGCACUGCCAAUCACUUCAAGAGCUAAAGGGAGCCCCUCACAUUUGCUAGCUAUUCUCUCGGCAACUUUCACAAUGUCCGGAUCACUAGGUAGUGAAUCACGAAAGGCAAACUUCCAAAACAUCUUUUCGCUCUCGGCCUUUGAUAGCAUACACACACGAAAUGUUUUUGCACCCAGCAUGCUCAAAAUGCCUUUCUUUCUGGUUGUUACCAGCACCCGGCUGUAAGAGGACGGCCCUGCUGUAAAAUCCAGUCCCUUGGUCAAGCUCAUUUCCCACACAUCAUCCAGUAUCAACAAGACAUGGUUGCCACGAGCAACAUUUUGUGCCAUCUGUUGCACAUGCUCAAUGGUGCCUGCAUUUUGGGCCCUCUCCUUCAUGUCGCCCCAUUCAAGAGCGUUGAGGAGCUGGGCCCUGAGAUCAUCCUCCGAUGCAUCUUUCUUGACAGUAAUCCACACAAUGUUGUCAUGGAAAUGCUGCCGGACCCUCUGGUCAUUGUGCACGAAGCUUGCAAGGGUGGUCUUGCCACACCCUCCCAUUCCCAGGAGUCCAAACCAUUUCCCCGGGGCUUGUGGAUCCAGGAGGGCAUUCACCACCUCAUCCACCUGCUCCCCAUGGCGGCCAAACAUGUCGUUGGCCUCGGGAACACCACGCGGUACAUAGUUUACGAGACCUCUGUCUUGUGGACAACUCCGUACGGAAAAGCUGGUGCUCGACUGUAUCACUCUCAACUCUUCUCGCUCGUACCUUUCAAUCUGCGGGAGGAGAUCGUCCUCGCAAGUGCGUACCAGCUCCAAAAUCGCGCCAGAUCGCUUCUCCCUGCGCGAUAGAUCCAUCUUUUAGCUUCAUUGCUUCAAACAUGAAUUCGAAUAAGCCUUACUGUGAUCCAAGCAGCGCUUGCGCCUUCUCAGUCCAUUCAGUCAGUUCAGUCAGCCACGCCUCAGCCUCACCAGAGUAGCGGAAAUCUGGAUUCCUGUGCUUGGGAGCAUUAAACUUGUCAAGCGUGGCCUGGAUUCUGGAUGCCCUCUUCUUUAGCUCCUGCCAUUUCUACACACAGCUGCCUGCCAUUUCUACACACACACACACACAAAAGAUAAAAUGCUACUGUACCGACCGCUUUAUGGGGCUCCAGAUCCUGUUGUGGCGUGAUCGCAAGAGUGCUUGUGCCGUGGUGUUCCAUUUCCUGACACGCUCCAAGCAUUUCUCGGCCGCUUCAGAGAACAUAAAGCCAGGUCCAUUUCGCUCCUUGUGGCGAUCGAAAGCGUUGAUCUUGGCCUGGAUGUGGUGCGCCUUGUUCUCCAGCGUUUCAAUGUUGGCAUUGCAGUCUCUUAGCAGGGCCCAGAGCCAAGCCACACAAGACGCCUGUCAAGGAGCCCACAACCUCCAUGCCUGUAGACCUACAAGUAAAGGUCGUCUCCCAGAACUCUUGGCCUUGGUACCCCCUCUUAAAAUGAACAGUAAUUCUCAGAGGGGUAUAAGCUGUUACAAGUGACUUGAGUUUAAUUGGAGUUGAUUGCUUGCAGUAGAGCGCGUAGUAGAGGGCCUCGUGCAGCACCCUCCCUCUUGCAAUGCCAGCUGUGGCUCUCUCUCUCUCUCUCUCUCUCCUCGUGCAGCACCCUCCCUCUCUCUCUCACUCUCUCUCAUUGCUCCGACAAGCAUGCUCCGACAUUGUAAGUUUCUCCAGGAGAGGUAACUUUUGUCGCUUUGUUUUAGUUGCACACAGAUAGGACGCGUUCCAGCUGACUGGGCCACGUGUUUGAUUGCUUUGGGUCAGGAAAGCGUACUCUGGGUCAUUCUUCACUAUUUUUGAGACUAGAAUUUUUGGUUUAUUUUGUAAUGGAAAACAAUAUACUUUUGAACUUGCCAAGCUUGUAUAUAUUAUAUAAUAUAUGAGGAAAAAGAAGUGAAAUACACUGUAAAUGCAUAAAAAAAUAACAACUAUUAAUAAAGUAAUAUAAUAACAAAUUAAUAUAAGUAGUUUUAUUUUUUUCCACUCAAAUUUAGCAAAUACUUGCAAGAAUUUUCUAAGCUUAAUAUAACAAUUUUAAAAAAAUUAGUGGAAUUACUUCUUGAAUUUAAGUUUUCUCUUGCUAACAUGAAGUAAUUCUAUAAGAAUGAAAACUAUAUUUAUCAGUUGCCAAAUGCCUACAAAAUUAAAACUGAAUAAACCUUAAAGUACAUUGUUGAGCAGAGUGUGAAAUUUAGACAAUUGAUUAUAUCUAAAGAGGCUUGGUCCAUAAAUACUUGGGACUACACCACUAUGACAUUAAAAAAUUAAAAUGUAAUUAAAACCAUAACUAUUAUAUAAAAAUUUAUAUGCAACACUAUAUCUGAAUUGUGAAUAAAAUUAUAUGAACAAAAUUGGCAAACAUCAGUUUCAAAACUAUAUAGGUAUCAGUAAAUUAUAUAGAAAAGUAUAUGUACAUUUAUUCUCAAAAUACAACUCAAUCAUAUGCAAAACUAUACAAAAAACCAUUCAUUAUGAUUGCCAAAUAGAGCAUCUAUCAUGAUGAAAACUAUGUACAAAACCAUUAGUAAUUAAGAAACCAAUCAUGAAACCAUUAAAGUCACAUAUGGUUUAACACAACCAUCUUGUUUUGGUACUAGUUAUAGUAAAAAACCAUAUUGAUGAGCGUGUUGUGGUUGUAAUGCUGGGCAACACUAUGCGACACUCCGGGUUUUAGAAAUAGGAAGAGGCUCCAGCUUAAGGCUCCGACCCCAGCGUUGGUAAAUCGUCGACGACAGGGAGUUCUAGAUCUACGGUGACAACAUAGGCCCCUGCGGCAAAAUGUUCCAUCGGCAGUGGAUCGCCAAAAACUCCUGCAAAAGCUGAGGCUUCUAGGACAGCAAAACUUGCCGAGGUGAGCAAUGAUAGUGGAGCAGAGGAUUCAUAUGAUUCGGGAGUAGAAAGUGGAGCAAUCGAUGGUGGAGAAGAAGAGGUAAACAAGAUCAUGACUGGAGGAGGAAACAAUGCCGAGGUGGAAAGAACAACAGUGGUGGAGAGCUCCAUUGAGACUGUCAGGAAACAUGGCGAGGCUGUUUCUAGCGCCUUAGCUGGACUUUCAAUCAGAGGUAGUGCCUUGACCCACGGUAAUCCCGUUAAGAUGGAAGAUGGUUGUGGUUCCGUGAAAGCUGAAGCUUCGGCUUCGAUCGCAGCUGGAUGUGAUCCUAUGAAAGUAGAUGGGUUGGUGAAGAUGGAAGCUGGUUUUGAGUCUGCAAGAGUCGAAGCUCCGGUUGGCUCAGUGAAGAUGGAACCUGGUAAUGAUCCUGUGAAAGUUGAAACUCCAUUCGGGGGUGGUAAAGCUGCCCAUUUGUCUGAAGCGCAGUUGGUUCCAAUAGAAAAUGACACGGCUAAAGCUGCAGAGAAGCAACCGGUUGUUUUAGAUGCAGAGAGGUGGUGGCUUCUCCAAGAGACUGAAGUUGCCGGGUACUCGACGUCCAGGGGAUGCCGGAUUCGUGUUGGCGAGUUCGUGUCCUUCAAUUUUCCCAAGCCUGAAGCCGAAAGUAAGAAGAAGUUCUUUGAGCACAAGAAGGUUCGGCCGAAAGCGAGCUCCGACAUUGUAAGGUUCUUGACAAAAGCUUCAGGAGAGGUACGUUUCACUUGACUUGUUUCUUCGUUUUAAUUCUAACCAUUUGCUCACAGAGAGGACGGCUUCCAGCCGACUGGUGAUACCUUUGGGAAGUGCAAAAUGGCACCAGAGGCUCUUUCUCUUAUGAACAGCAUAGUUCUCCAUUUUUCUGUGUUUACCAGAGACGUUACGUAUAUGAUGUGCUUGCAGAGUUUAUAUCAACAAGUCAGAAGCCUUACGAAGAGGGGGAUGAGCGCGGAUUGAAGCUUCUGCAAGCUAUCUUGAAGCCGUUAAUGCUUCGAAGAACAAAAGAUUCAACUGAUAAAGAAGGAAGGUAAGCAUUUUUUCCUUUGCACCGUGCCUUGUCUUGUAUUCACUCACAAGUUGGAUUCACAGACCAAUCUUGUUCUCCAACCGGCUCAAUAUGAAGUUAUUGUAUCCAUAUCCAUAGCUAUCAUGCAGGCGUUCCUGUACGAAAUAGGAACUCAUAACUGUACCAACAAGUAAUCGGUUUCGAAUAAAUGUCGAGGAGCAGUGGAAGGAGUCGUCCAAAGUCGAGGCUCUGCUGCACCACCUCCAGACGUUAAGUGAGGCCGAGUCGAAAAGCGUUGUUUUUAGUCAGUGGACAGCGUUUCUCGACUUGUUAGAGAUACCAUUGAAAAGGUACGAGCGUCUUUCCUUUUGGUGCUUUCUCUUUGUUUGUGUUUCUAACAAUGCACUGCCAGGACGAACUUCUGUUUCGUCCGCUUGGACGGAACACACUCGCAGCGUCAGCGAGAACAAGUGCUCAAAAACUUCAGCAAUAUUCCAGCCGUGGCCGUAAGCUUUUUGUGUUGCUUACCUCCAAGAAACCACUCUAUUUUGUGGACAGGUCAUGCUCAUGCUUUUCAUGGUAUGUGCUAUAGUUUUCUUUUUUAGCCAUCUUCCGAGUCGAGCAUCGGUCAGACGAAGAACGUAUCGAUCAAGCGAUUCAUCGUCAAAGUAAGUGCCACUUGAAACUCUCUUUGACGUUUCUCAUGUCUCUAGAGCAGGACUCGGUGGAGGAGAGAAUGCAACAGGUCCAAGCGAGGAAGCAGCGAUUGAUCGCGGGGGCUCUCACAGACGAAGAGGUGCGAAGCGCUCGAAUCGAGGAGCUCAAAAUGCUAUUUAGAUGAGAAGAACUGGAGUCCUUAGCAACUUAUAUCAGUGUACAUAGUUAAAGAGGGGAAUAUGCUUCUAGCAUCGGCGCGUAUAUUCUUCUGAUAGUUCAAUGUAGGUUUCUUCGCGGCUACGGCGGACAGCAGGCGAUCGCGUCGCAAGCGGCGACGAGCAAGGUAUGCAUGCUAGGAUCGCCUCGAGAAGCAGCAGCAGCGCCAGCGCCGGCGCCGCGCCGCGAUUUCGCUGGCCUAGAGAGCCGGAGUAGCCGAUCUAGAUUCAUGCAAGCAUAUCAUCUCUAGGAAAUUGAGCUGAACGCUGAGGCUUUGCAGGCGAUCGCGUCGAUUCCUCUCGUCUCCGCGGCCGGGGCGGCUAGAAAGCCGGGGCGCAUUCUAGAGUUUCGGGGUUUCUGGGGCGAUCAGUCAUGUAGCGGGUAGAGCCGUUGGUGCGGCUUUUGAGGAGUCCAAACAGAGGCUCCAUAAUCUAGAUGCUUUGGAAGGAGAAGGCGUGACGACCUCUCUAGAUCUUGAGGAGCUACAAAUUGACGGUCACCGUCGUGAGGGUAAAGCUCCACAGUUUUACAAGGUUUGUGCUUGCUUUUUUUCUUUCUCUAUUUUCAUGUGUUUGUAUCUCUGGUUACAGCCGAAGGAGAACCGUUUCAGGACCUCUGAAGAACUAAAGGUAUGCAUAUGCAUAUUCUUAAUAUUGUUAUGUUUUCCAUGUUUUACCAUUUACUCUAUACACCAGAUUUUAAAAUACUCAAAACCACGAGAGUAAAGUAAUAUCCUGAGAAUACGAUUUGUAAGAAAAACAGAAACUGUGUCUUCUCCAAACGCUGCUGACGGCUUGGAAAUCUCUGUUUUUGUUUUUUGAGUGAUGCAAAAUAGUGUAGCAUUUGCGCAGAUCGAGAACCCAAUCGAUGUCCACUGAAGGAGCAAGGUUUAAUCCCAGAAUGUUAUCUGGAGAUCCGGCCGCUCCUCAAGCCAUGGUGGAACUUUCGUAGCUUUUUGGCAGCGUAGGACUUUGAGCCUGGGAAAUAAGCCAAGGCCGUGAUUGUCUGAACUCAAUUGGGGCCACACUACAUCAUCAUGACCAGAGAGCACAAGUUCCUCCAAUCCUGGAAGGGAUGCAAUGGAUGAUGGAAUAUUUUCGAUCCUAUUCAAGGUUACAUCUCUUAGAGCAGUCAUUUGGUAUGUUGGCUCAAAGAAAUCAUUGGGGAGCUGCCUCAUACAGCCCGUCCGCAAAGAUAAUGCGAACCCUUUCACCUUCAGCUGUGAUCUCUCGGUUGGCAUCAAGAGUCUCCUCAUGUAACCUUCUACUCUCAGUCCAUCAAGGUCUUUGGGGAGUUGUGUCACAAAGAGAGGCAAAUGCUCCCAUGUAUUAUCAGGAGCCAGAUAGAAUCUUAACCACUUCAGGUUUGGAAGACUUGCUGCCAAAUCAUCCUUGAACUUCGACUGUGCAAUGCGCAGAUUUCGAAGCUCCAGAUGUUUGAGGCAUGGGAACGAUCCAUCCAGACUGAAGAACUGGAUACCACUGCGGUCUAGUUGAAGUUCUCGUAGCCGUUGAAAGACCUUUAGCCAAGACAGGUCUUUCAUUGUCUCAUUGUUUAUGAUCGUUAAAAGUUGUAGCUGUGGCCAUUCAAGGCUUUCGGCAUUGUUUUCACCGUCUUGUACCCCGUCAAUGGAAAAGCUCCAAAGCUGUUUGGAAUUCUUAAACAUUCGCUUCCAGUCAAGUUUGAUAGUCGAUUGCACACUAAUGUCACAUCGUCUUAGAUUGACAAGUUGCCACAGGUCGGUGAAAUCACCAAAGUCCAUGCUCUUUGCCCGCAACUCCAGUGUCUCCAUGGCCACUAGUGCACCAAGGCUGUGAGGUAUUUUUAUUGUUGCACCAUAGAGGUCUAGCUUUAAAUGUCUUAGCUUGUGUAGGCUUGAAAUUCCACUCAAAUUCACAGCUAACUCCUUACCGGAAUGAAGCUCCAGCUCUUCCAAGUUGAAUAAUUGGGGCAGUAAUGCAAAGUUGAAUUUUGUGGUAUUAUCGCAUUUCAAAACCUUCAGUGAUGUCAAGCUGAAGAGCGCAUCUGGUAAUAUUGUCACACUUGAAUAUAGAAGGUCAAGCACUUGAAGGUUUCUCAGCUUGGAUAUGCUCUCUGGAAUAAAACGGACCUGAUCAGAGCAGUGAAGCAAGCUCAAUACCUUGACAUUUUGGAUGUGAUCUAUAAUAAGACUGACAUCCACACCAGAAAUUCCAUAACAUCCAUCGAGAAGCAAGACAUCUCGCACAUGAAUGUCAGACAAAAAGCUGCUUGUAACCUUCUUUCUGAUGAAUGAAACUUUAGAAAAUGUUGGAGAAAUCCCAGGUGGACAAUCAUAGCCAAACAGGCAUCCCUUCUCGUGCUCUUCCUGGGGUGGGUACUUCCCUUUCAAGAUUCUUAUGCACAGCUUGCGUACCAUAUCGUGCACAGUUACAUACUUACCCCAUCGAUCAUCAGUUGUCUUCACUAGGCAUCUUCGUUCCAGUUCACUAACAAUCUGCAGAGGCGAGAGUUCUGACCCAACCGCUAUCAAACAUUUUCUCAGAUCAUCAAAGUCGAUUGGCCAAUCUUCUGGAAACGCAGCCACAUAGAGAAAGCACUCUUGCAGCUUUUCAUCCUUAUUAGACAGCUCGUCAUAGCUAAACUUCAAGGGCUGGAACAUCCGCUUCUCAAUGUCCCCGUCAUCCAACAAAUGCAUCUUCUGAUAGCGUUCUUCCCACACCUGCGGCCUGUCAUGCCUGUAGUCAGCCAUGGCACUGCCAAUCACUUCAAGAGCUAAAGGGAGCCCCUCACAUUUGCUAGCUAUUCUCUCGGCAACUUUCACAAUGUCCGGAUCACUAGGUAGUGAAUCAUAAAAGGCAAACUUCCAAAACAUCUUUUUGCUCUCGUCCUCUGAUAGCUCAUGCACAGGAAGUUCCUUUGCACCCAGCAUGCUCAAAAUGCCUUUCUUUCUGCUUGUUACCAGCACCCGGCUGUAAGAGGACGGCCCUGCUGUAAAAUCCAGUCCCUUGGCCCAGCUCAUUUCCCACACAUCAUCCAGUAUCAGCAAGACACGAAUUCCACGAGCAACAUUUUGUGCCAAGUGCUGCACAUGCUCAAGGGUGCCUGCAUUUUGGGCCCUCUCUCUCAUGCCGCCCCAGUCAAGAGCGUUGAGGAGCUGGGCCCUGAGAUCAUCCUCCGAUGCAUCUUUCUUGACAGUGAUCCAUACAAUGUUGUCAUGGAAAUGCUGCCGGACCCUCUGGUCAUUGUUCACGAAUUUUGCAAGGGUGGUCUUGCCACACCCUCCCAUUCCCAGGAGUCCAAACCAUUUCCCCGGGGCUUGUGGAUCCAGGAGGGCAUUCACCACCUCAUCCACCUGCUCCCCAUGGCGGCCAAACAUGUCGCUGGGCUCGGGAACACCAUGCCGUACAUAGUUUACGAGACCUCUGUCUUGUGGACAACUCCGUACGGAAAAGCUGGUGCUCCGCUGUAUCACUCUCAACUCUUCUCGCUCGUACCUUUCAAUGUGCGGGAGGAGAUCGUUCUCGCAAGUGCGUACCAGCUCCGAAAUCGUGCCAGAUCGCUUCUCCCUGCGCGAAAGAUCCAUCUUUUAGCUUCAUUGCUUCAAACAUGAAUUCGAAUAAGCCUUACUGUGAUCCAAGCAGCGCUUGCGCCUUCUCAGUCCAUUCAGUCAGUUCAGUCAGCCACGCCUCAGCCUCACCAGAGUAGCGGAAAUCUGGAUUCCUGUGCUUGGGAGCAUUAAACUUGUCAAGCGUGGGCUGGGUUCUGGAUGCCCUCUUCUGUAGGUCCUCAAUGUGGACAUUCAGCUCAUGCUCGUGACCUUGGAUGUGCGACAGGAGAUCGUCGUAGGCACUUAAGGACUUCGCGAUGUCGUUACUCCGCUUGUACCUAUAGGAAGUGGAGAAGUUCAACCAGCUGCCUGCCAUUUCUACACACACACACACACAAAAGAUAAAAUGCUACUGUACCCACCGCUUUAUGGGGCUCCAGAUCCUGUUGUGGCGUGAUCCCAAGAGUGCUUGUGCCGUGGUGUUCCAUUUCCUGACACGCUCCAAGCAUUUCUCGGCCGCUUCAGAGAACGUGAAGCCAGGAUUCUGCUGCUUGUGAACACUGAAAGCUUCGAUCUUGUCCUGGAUGUGGGGCGCCUUGUUCUCCAGCGUGUCAAUGUUGGCAUUGCAGUCCCAUAUCUUCUUAGCAGGGCCCAGAGCCAAGCCACACAAGACGCCUGUCAAGGAGCCCACAACCUCCAUGCUUGUAGCCCUACAAGUAAAGGUCGUCUCCCAGAACUCUUGGCCUUGGUACCCCCUCUUAAAAUGAACAGUAAUUUUCAGAGAGGUAUAAGCUGUUACAAGUGACUUCAGUUUAAUUAGAGUUGAUUGCUUGCAGUAGAGCGAGUAGUAGAGGGCCUCGUGCAGCACCCUCCCUCUUGCAAUGCCAGCUGUGGCUCUCUCUCUCUCUCUCUCUCUCAUUGCUCCGACAUUGUAAGUUUCUCCAGGAGAGGUAACUUUUGUCGCUUUGUUUUAGUUGCACACAGAUAGGACGCCUUCCAGCUGACUGGGCCACGUGUUUGAUUGCUUUGGGUCAGGAAAGCGUACUCUGGGUCAUUCUUCACUAUUUUUGAGACUAGAAAUGUAUAUGGUUUUACUUUUGAACUAGGAUAGUUUAUAUGUUUUAAUAUAGUUAACACUCUGGAACUUGAUUUAUAAUAUUAAGGACAUCAAGAAUUAUUUUAAAAUUGGACUAAAACUUGAUUUUCCUUAUGGAUUUUCAACUACAUAUAAAAGAUGUACAUUCAUGUAAUUUAUUCAUAUGACAAUAUUCUUUUGAUAAGAGCAUAGGUUGUGCUGUUUAACAAACAUAUGAUGUUUUUGACUGGAACUUUUAUGAAAAAAUUCCCACACUUCAAUAAGAAAAUAAACAAAUUUAUAUUGUUUUUAUUUGCUGCAGAAUGUCCUUUUUUAAUUCUAUAUGAAUUGGGAUUGUUGGUUACAACUUCCAUACAUAUAACAUAUAAAUGUUCUAUUGCAAACAUCUUUACCACAUAUUUAAUUCUUCCUUGGAUCCUCAUAAUAUAAUCAAUUGCCACUUCUAUAGAAUUGUCUUUAUUGUUACUUCUAUAGUAGUGUCCUUAUUGUGGGCACCUUCUGGAAAUUUGUGAUAAAUUACAUCCAAAACUAAAUAAAAGUAAUUCCAAACAUUGUUAUAGUAUGGCACAAUGUAAACUUCUCUAACUAGAGUAUUCAUUAGUAAGAUGCAAAUAUGAUUAAAUUGAAUAUUCCCUAAAACUAAAAUAUGAGAACCUAUGUGGUGAUAUUUCAUUAGAGUUCUUCUUAGUUCACCUACAUAGUAACUGAGAAAAAAUUAUUAACUUCUACCAAAGAAAUAGAUAGAUAGACAAUUUCUCACUAGUAGUAUUUAACACAAAUAAAGAUUUCAAUUGCACCCCUAAUCCCAACUAAGAAUAUCUUUAUAAUUUGAGUAAAAUAUAUAUCACUUGGAAAACCAUAUAGUUAUAAGCAUGAAAUAUAAUAUGAUUAUUACAAACCUACCACCAUAGUUGUGUUUUGCUUUUGCACUAUGAUCUUAGCAUGUAUUGCCACAAUUUUUAAUUCUUCCUCUUUCAUGACAUUUUCUUCAACCAAAUUAUCAUUAGGUAAACUAUUCAUCACUCAUUCCAACAUCACUAAUGACAAAUAUAAUGUUCUCUCACAAAUCAUAUCCAAACCCAUUUGCUAGAUUAUAUGGUUCUGACUUUCCUCCCAAAUCCACUCUAUUAUUUGUCACCGUGCUAACUUAUGCAUUUUUAGUGAGAGUAAGUGUUUGCCUAUGCUUAUAGAAAGUAGAUUUGGUGAAAAAAUAACCUUUUGCUGCCCUUGUUGUAACAUAUGAUAGACAACAAUAAUUUUUCUUUCUUUUUUGCUUUAGUUUGGUAUGAACCAUUGAGAUGUGUCAUUUUCUGGCUAAUCUAGUGAUUCCAAUCCCCAGACAAAUAUUACAAUCAACAUUACAAGGCAAGCACAUUCUUGCAAAACUUGUGAAACUUAAAAAUACACAAUUAUCACAUAUCUUUUAGUGUUUUUAAUGUUGUCAGCCUCGUGGUUUUUUGCUGCUUUCUUUCAAAAACAUAAUAUUGUUAUAAAUAUUUUUUUUGAGGUAUUUUUCAAGUCCUUAUUUAGCAAAUUCAUAAUGGAGGUAGAGGAGAUAAAUUGCCCAAUCCGUAAUGCUUUUUGGGAUUGGGCUUAUAAGUAACAUUUGAUAAGCAUAGAACAUAGGAAGGUUAAAGCUUUUUACUUGUUUUUAUUGAUAGAAGUUUUUUUAUUUUGGUAUCAUGCUUACUUUAGCAAAAAUCUUUAACUCUUUGAGUUAGGUAAGGAUAAUUGCUUUUCUCUAAGGCUAUAAAGGUUUUAUGAAGAUCUUGCUUAUAUCCUUAUGCAUCUAAUGUGCCAGUUAUGUUUUUAAAUGAUUUUUUAUUUGAUUUUGGAAAUCUUUUAUUUACAAUUCUUAUAUGCACUACUAUUUUGUGUUGUUAGAGCUUACCAUUGCAUCCACAAUAACAUUAAUAUGUCUUCAAUUGAUCUUAAUAUGAUGCAAGAUAAAUGACUAUUUAAGGAUGACCUGUGAUUUGCAAAUGAUUUUGGACUUGGAAGAUGAUUGAGGUUGGGAUCGAUGGCAUAGAUGGCAUGCUGUUGUUUUAUAUUAUAGCAAGGUCCACCAACCAUGGUGCUAUUUGGCCUAUAAAGCAAUUAGAAUUGGUAAAGUGAUGUUUUUAAUUAUACAUUUUUUAAUAUAGUUAUGUGUUUGGAUUAUUAGGGUAUAAGUUGUUUGAAAGAAACUCCAUACCCUAGAAGUAAAUAAAGAGUCAAAAUAGUCUAAUGAUGCAACUAUGGAGAUAGAGCGAGCAUAAUUAGCUAAAAUCAAUAUAAAUUUGUUACUUAAUUUAUAUAUAUUUUUUACAUUUGAACUUCCCACAUGUGAGAUAGGGUUUGCAUAGUAGGGUUUAGUGGGCGGCGAGAUUGUAAAGGUGUUAAGUUUUGUAUCUGCUUAUCGUUCUAUUUGAAUUGACAAGCUGAGAUAAGGUAAGCAAUGGGUGAAAAUACACAAAGUGAAUCCCUUUUUUUUUUCCUAAAAUAUUGAUGACCUUAGCAAAAUUGAAUGGACCAUUUAGCAAGGGAUUGUAUAAAUAUAUUAUGAGUGUUUGUUUGGCUAGAGUGUUGCCAAACUUCAAUAACAAAAUUGAGAGUGAUGGAUUUUUUAGAGAGGAUUAUUUCAAGCUUAACAUUCCGAUAUGGAUGAGCAUUGGAGCAAAAAAAAAGGAUGCAAUCCAAUUGACAAAGAAACUCAAAAAUCUCAAUGAUUCGUCGGAAUAGAUAUGCUAUAAAAAGCAUGCCCAAAAUAAAAGCCCUUCACGAAAACAAUAGUACCAGCCAACACUCACUUAAGAAUAAAACACACAAAAUCAAGGAUUAUAAAAAUAGCAACCAAGGUUUGCAACACCAAUUUUUAAUGUUAAGUACUCCAAGCGCUUACUAGAUUUUUUAUUAACUUUAUUUAGCAAGAAUCUACUUUAUGAGUUAUUGUAAAUCUUUCCUAACUACAAAAGAGGAUACUUCAAAUGUGAAAGGUAAGUGGAGCAAAGAACUAAACUAAUUGAGCAAGUUUUUGAGUGUAAAAUAAAUAAUCAGUUCCUUUUGUAUUUAUGAGUUCAAAAUAAAAGAGAUCUUCAUUAUAUUGUGAUAUCAACUUCAGAAAGUAGUGGUUGCUAAAAUAGAGCAAAUAAAAGAGUUUAUAAAGUACUUGUAUGACUAGAGUGUUGUAAAUCUCCUUGCAUUUAAGUUAAAUAUGUAGAUCUUGAGUUUUUUAAAGUACAAACCAUAUUAGUUUCAAUAGAAAAAACCUCAUAGUUUUCAAUAUAACUUUUGCAAUAUCUUCAAAUAGCAAGGAUAACAAUUUUAGAUAAAUGGCAAUGAGUUAGAACUACAAUAGUUAAGAAAGUUUAUAGUGGCACAUUCAUUUGAAAGUAUAAAGCUCUACGAGUGAGGAUAAUUUCACUCAUAGAUAAGGAUUUACUGGCCAAUAUAAAGGUUUUUUUUCAUAUGUGAGGUAAAUUUUUUUUAGGAUGGCAUUUUAAAAUUAUGCUCAACACUAAAGAAAAAGGUAUGGACUAAUUUUAAAUUUUAAGUUCAGGAGAUGUAUUGGCCUAAGUGCAUGAAGGCCAUUGUCAUUGGCAAGGAUAAUGAAAAAAUUAUUAAAGCAGUAUUAUUUUCAAAAGAAUUUUAUAGUUUUUUAAUUUUUGUUUAUGUAGCUCUAGACUGAAUCAUAUGGCAACGGAUGUGAGGAGCAACCCCCAUACCCUACUAAACAAAAUUGAUGAAGAAAUUGAGUGUGAGAUUAUAACCAAAGAAGAAAAAGGUAAAUUUCAUAGUAUAACUUAAUUGUAUAUAUGGAUUAAUAUUUUCUGGCUCUAUUUACAAAUAGAAGAACACUGAAAGUGCUUCCUUAAAUAAUUUUUUAUUAAAAUGUGGAUAAUAUUAUAAAAAUUUUUUAUUGUUUUGCAACAAUCUUCACUAAAUUUUUUUUUUUUGGCUUGUGUGUAUUAAUUAUAACUAACUUGUAUAACUUUGUAAGUGUCAUCCACAAUAGUAAAAGCUUAGCCUAUGGCCAUAAAUAUUUAUAAGGAGGUGUAUUGAUUCUUAAGCUUGUAUAUAUUAUAUAAUAUAUGAGGAAAAAGAAGUGGAAUACACUGUAAAUGCAAAAAAAAAAUCAACAACUAUUAAUAAAGUAGUAUAAUAACAAAUCAAUAUAAGUAAUUUUAUUUUUUUCCACUCAAAUUUAGCAAAUACUUGCAAGAAUUUUCUAAGCUUAACAUAGCAAUUCUAAGAAAAUUAGUGGAAUUGCUCCUUGAAUUUAAGUUUUCUUUUGUUAACAUAAAGCAAUUUUAUAAAAAUGAAAACUAUAUUUACCAAUUGCCAAAUGCUUGCAAAAUUAAAACUGAACAAACCUUAAAGGACAUUGUUGAGAAGAGUGUGAAGUUUGAAUAAUUGAUUAUAUUUAAAGAGGCUUGGUCCAUAAAUACUUGGGACUACACCACUAUGAUAUUAAAAAAUUAAAAUGUAAUUAAAACCAUAUCUAUAAAUAUGGUUUUAUAUAUAAAAAUUUAUAUGCAACACUAUAUCUGAAUUGUGAAUAAAAUUAUGUGAACAAAAUUGGCAAACAUCAGUUUCAAAACUAUAUAGAUAUCAGUAAACUAUAUAGAAAAGUAUAUGUACAUUUAUUCUCAAAAUACAACUCAAUCAUAUUCAAAAUUAUACAAAAAACCAUUCAUUAUGAUUGCCAAAUAGAGCAUAAAUCAUGAUGAAAACUAUGUACAAAACGAUUAGUGGUUGUGGUCCCAAAAGCAAUGCAUUAACAAUUAAGAAACCAAUCAUGAAACCAUUAAAGUCACAUAUGGUUUAACACAACCAUCUUGUUUUGGUACUAGUUAUAGUAACAAACCAUAUUGAUGAGCGUGUAAUGCUGGGCAACACUAUGCGACACUCUGGGUUUUAGAAAUAGGAAGAGGCUCCAGCUUAAGGCUCCAACCCCAGCGUUGGUAAAUCGUCGACGACAGGGAGUUCUAGAUCUACGGUGACAACAAAGGCCCCUGCGGCAAAAUGUUCCAUCGGCAGUGGAUUGCCAAAAACUCCUGCAAAAGCUGAGGCUUCUAGGACAGCAAAAAUUGUCGAGGUGAGCAAUGAUAGUGGAGCAGAGGAUUUAUAUGAUUCGGGAGUAGAAAGUGGAGCGAGGUAAACAAGAUCAUGACUGGAGGAGGAAACGAUGCCGAGGUGGAAAGAACAACAGUGGUGGAGAGCUCCAUUGAGACUGUCAGGAAACAUGGCGAGGCUGUUUCUAGCGCCUUAGCUGGACUUUCAAUCAGAGGUAGUGCCUUGACCCACGGUAAUCCCGUUAAGAUGGAAGCUGGUUGUGGUUCCGUGAAAGCUGAAGCUUCGGUUUUGAUCGCAGCUGGAUGUGAUCCUACGAAAGUAGAUGGCUUGGUGAAGAUGGAAGCUGGUUGUUUUACAUGCAGAGAGGUGGUGGCUUCUCCAAGAGACUGAAGUUGCCGGGUACUCGACGUCCAGGGGAUGCUGGAUUCGUGUUGGCGAGUUCGUGUCCUUCAAUUUUCCCAAGCCUGAAGUCGAAAGUAAGAAGAAGUUCUUUGAGCACAAGAAGGUUCGGCCGAAAGCGAGCUCCGACAUUGUAAGGUUCUUGACAAAAGCUUCAGGAGAGGUACGUUUCACUUGACUUGUUUCUUCGUUUUAAUUCUAACCAUUUGCUCACAGAUAGGACGGCUUCCAGCCGACUGGGCCAAGUGUUCGAUACCUUUGGGAAGUGCAAAAUGGCACCAGAGGCUCUUUCUCUUAUGAGCAGCAUAGUUCUCCAUUUUUCUGUGUUUACCAGAGACGUUACGUAUAUGAUGUGCUUGCAGAGUUUAUAUCAACAAGUCAGAAGCCUUACGAGGAGGGGGAUGAGCGCGGAUUGAAGCUUCUGCAAGCUAUGUUGAAGCCGUUAAUGCUUCGAAGAACAAAAGAUUCAACUGAUAAAGAAGGAAGGUAAGCAUUCUUUUCUUUGCACCGUGCCUUGUCUUGUAUUCACUCACAAGUUGGAUUCACAGACCAAUUCUUGUUCUCCAACCGACUCAAUGUGAAGUUAUUGAAUGCAAACUAUCUGAGCCUGAACGUGAUUUUUAUGAUGCCCUUUACCACAGAUCUAAGGCAUAAAGAACUUCUCUUUCUUUUACUUUCUCUUUUUUCUGAACACGAUUUUGCGUUUGUGAUCAGGUAAAAUUCGAUCAGUUCGUUGGACAAGGUAAAGUUCUCCAUAACUAUGCCUCGAUCCUCGAACUGCUACUUCGAUUACGGCAAGCUUGUGAUCAUCCUUUUCUUGUUCUGAGGUAGAAAAUGCAUCCUCUUAUGUCUGAAGUUCCUGACGUUUUCUUCGUCACGCAGCCGUGGCGAUACUGAAGACUUUGCGGACCUGGGAAAGCUGGCUAGACGUUUCCUCCCAGGUGCCUUCGACGGCGUAUGUCAAAGAGGUGGUGGAUGAUAUUCGUAAAGGAGAAAGUGCUGAGUGCCCAAUUUGUUUGGAGAUGCCAGAGGACGCAGUUCUUACAUUGAAAGUGCCGUGAGUGCCGAGAAUGUGGACGAUCGAGCAUCGGUCAGACGAAGAACGUAUCGAUCAAGCGAUUCAUCGUCAAAGUAAGCGCCACUUGAAACUCUCUUUGACGUUUCUCAUGUCUCUUAAGCAGGAUCCAAGCGAGGAAGCAGCGAUUGAUCGCGGGGGCUCUCACAGACGAAGAGGUGCGAAGCGCUCGAAUCGAGGAGCUCAAAAUGCUAUUUAAAUGAGAAGAACUGGAGUCCUUAGCAUUUUUUUAACUUACAUCAGGUUAAAGAGGGGAAUAUGCUUCUAGCUUCGGCGCGUAUAUUCUUCAAUGUGUCAUAGCUAGGUUUCUUCGCGGCUAUGGCGGACAGCGAAGGAGCAGGCGAUUGCGUCGCAAGCGCGUUUGAUUCCGGCAGCAUCGGCGACGAGCAACGUAUGCAUGCUAGGAGCAGCAGCAGCGCCAGCGCCGGCGCCGCGCCGCGAUUUCGCUGGCCUAGAGCCGGAGUAGCCGAUCUAGAUUCAUGCAAGCAUAUGAUCUCUGGGAAAUUGAGCUGAACGCUGAGGCUUUGCAGGCGAUCGCGUCGAUUCCUCUCGUCUCCGCGGCCGGGGCGGCUAGAAAGCCGGGGCGCAUUCUAGAGUUUCGGGGUUUCUGGGGCGAUCAGUCAUGUAGCGCGCCUUGACUGCCACUACUCAGGCCGAGGAUGAACUGGGCGUGGAUGUGUCGUCUCCUCCACGACCACUCUACGUCCCAGCAAUAAGAUUUGGUGGGUGGUAGCAGCACCAAGACCCACUUUUCCCUUCGGAUCCAUUCUUGACUCCGUCGGACCACUGAUUUCUACGCUCUCCUCUUCCAGUCGAGAGACCGUUCCAUCCGCCAGUGCCGUAUCCUUUUCCAAAUGCUCGGACUUUCCAGCCUGCUGAUAAUGUGGUUCAUCCGCCGCAUUCCUCUGGGGAGCUUAAAGCUCGUCCUGGCCUUCACUUCGAGUCUCCGGUGUUUGGACCCAGCGCAGCAGAGACCUCGGACUCCAAGCGCGCCCCAGAGCAGCCGAGGAGAUCGGUUACACCUGCGAAGGAUGACAAGCAACAAUUCCACGGCAAUGGUUCCGAGCUCCUUCAGUUGUUACAGGGUGGUCCUGGUCGUGUGAAGCCCACAGCCUCCACAAAGGUGGAUGCUACACAGGACAGUGGGGAUUCUGGAGAGCCAUCAAAGAAAGGAAGUCCAUCUGCUGUUCACGGCCCAUGUCCUUUCUCCUCCGCAGAGUCCAAAUGACCUCCUUGGACGUUUGUGGGCUGCUCUUCCGUCGUCAAGCCACACUUCGUUUGACGGAGAAAGCGAACGCAAGACGUCAGCCCGGAGCUUUGGCGUUGAAGUGAACGAGAUGUCCCGGGAAGUCGACGGAGGUGAAGCUGCUGGUUUCGCACUUUUGAAGCGAAGGGGAUCGGAGCCUGCCGCCUCGCACUACCUUUAAACGGCUACGACUAUAACGACUCUAAGACAAAUGAUAAGCCGAGGACAAACUUGGCAUCCGGAAGACUACAGGACUAUCGUGGGAGAUACGUAAAUGGAGAGGCCGAAUUUGAGCCCGGAGGCGAUGACUUUAGAGGUGCGGGAAGGCGUCGAGGUACCGGUCGUGCAGACGCCAGACGCGGUGGUCGGGGUGCUGUUGGCCAGUGGAUUGCGGUAAGUGAGAGGCAUAAAGAUGCUGAGCCAAGUGACAUCACCUCCUGCGAUAUCUCUGAUGGAAGGGACGAGUCGCUUAAAUCUUCAAACGGGACUCAGUCGAAUGCUAGGAGAAAACAUCAACAGGUAUGGAGGAUAAAACAGGCCGACUCAAAGGCAGCAUUUCCAGCGGAGGAAAAACCGGACUACGAGGUUCCAAAGGCACGGUCUUUGGCAUCUCAACUUGAACGUCCAGCAUCGGAAAGUACGCAAAACUCUUCCGUUGGUGCGGCUUUUGAGGAGUCCAAACAGCGGCUCCAUAAUCUAGAUGCUUUGGAAGGAGAAGGCGUGACGACCUCUCUAGAUCUCGAGGAGCUACAAAUUGACGGUCACCGUCGUGAGGGUAAAGCUCCACAGUUUUACAAGGUUUGUGCUUGCUUUUUUUCUUUCUCUAUUUUCAUGUGUUUGUAUCUCUGGUUACAGCCGAAGGAGAACCGUUUCAGGACCUCUGAAGAACUAAAGGUAUGCAUAUGCAUAUUCUUAAUAUUGUUAUGUUUUCCAUGUUUUACCAUUUACUCUAUACACCAGAUUUUAAAAUACUCAAAACCACGAGAGUAAAGUAAUAUCCUGAGAAUACGAUUUGUAAGAAAAACAGAAACUGUGUCUUCUCCAAACGCUGCUGACGGCUUGGAAAUCUCUGUUUUUGUUUUUUGAGUGAUGCAAAAUAGUGUAGCAUUUGCGCAGAUCGAGAACCCAAUCGAUGUCCACUGAAGGAGCAAGGUUUACUAGCGCCCGUAGAAUGUUAUCUGGAGAUCUGGCCGCUCCUCAAGCCAUGGUGGAACUUUCGUACCUUUUAGGCAGCGUAGGACUUUGAGCCUGGGAAAUAAGCCAAGGCCGUGAUCGUCUGAACUCAAUUGGGGCCACACUACAUCAUCAUGACCAGAGAGCUCAAGUUCCUCCAAUCCUGGAAGGGAUGCAAUGGAUGAUGGAAUAUUUUCGAUCCCUAUCAAGUGCGCCCAUCUUAAAAGAGUCAUCUGGUCUGUUGGCUCAAAGAAAUCAUUGGGGAUACAGCCCUUCCACAAAAAUAAUGUGACGCAUUUCACCUUCAGCUGUGAUCUCUCGGUUGGCAUCAAGAGUCUCCUCAUGUAACCUUCUACUCUCAGUUCAUCAAGGUCUUUGGGGUGUUGUGUCACAAAGAGAGGCAAAUGCUCCCAUGUAUUAUCAGGAGCCAGCUUGAAUGUUAAAAGCUGCAGGUUUGGAAGACUUGCUGCCAAAUCGUCCUUGAACUCCGACUGUGCAAUGUGUAGAUUUUCAAGGCCCAGAACUUCAAGGCAUGGGAACGAUCCAUCUAAACUGAAGAACUGGAUACCACUGUCUAGGCGAAGUUCUCGUAGCCGCUGAAAGCCCUUUAACCAGGACAGGUCUUUCAUUGUCUCAUUGUUCCUGAUGGUUAACAAUUGUAGCUGUGGCCAUUCAAGGCUUUCGGCAUUGUUUUCACCGUCUUCAACCCCGUCAAUCGCAAAGCCCUCAAGCUGUUUGGAAUUCUUAAACAUUCGCUUCCAGUCAAGUUUGAUAGUCGAUUUCACCCAAAUCUCACAUCGUUUCAGAUUGACAAGUUGCCACGGGCCGGUGAAAUCGCCAAAGUCCAUGCUCUUUGCACGCAACACCAGUGUCUCAAUGUCCACUAGUGCACCAAGGCUGUGAGGUAUUUUUAUUGUUGCACCAUAGUAGAGCUCUAGCUUUAAAUGUCUUAGCUUGUGUAGGCUUGAAAUUCCACUCAAAUCCACAGCUAACUCCUCAAAGGAAUGAAGCUUCAGCUCUUCCAAGUCGAAUAAUUGGGGCAGUAAUGCAAAGUUGAGAUUUCUGGUAGCCUUGCAUUUCAAAACCUUCAGUGAUGUCAAGCUGAAGAGCGCAUCUGGCAAUUGAGGCACAUCAUCGUAGGAUGGAAAGUGAAGCACUUGAAGGUUUCUCAGCUUGGAUAUGCUCUCUGGAAUAGAACGGGCCAAAUUAUAGCAUCCAUUCAAGCUCAAUACCUUGACAUUUUGGAUGUGAUCUAUAUCCAAACCAGAAAUUUCAUGAGGUCCAUCGAGAAGCAAGACAUCUCGCACAUGAAUGUCAGACAAAAGGCUGCUUGUAACCUUCUUUCCAAUGAAUGAAACUUUAGAAAAUGUUGGAGAAAUCCCAGGUGGACAAUCAUAGCCAAACAGGCAUCCCUUCUCGUGCUCUUCCUGGGGUGGGUACUUCCCUUUCAUGAUUCUUAUGCACAGCUUGCGUACCAUAUCGUGCACAGUUACAUACUUACCCCAUCGAUCAUCAGUUGUCUUCACUAGGCAUCUUCGUUCCAGUUCACUAACAAUCUGCAGAGGCGAGAGUUCUGACCCAACCGCUAUCCAACAUUUUCUCAGAUCAUCAAACUCGAUUCGCACAUCUUCUGGAAACGCAGCCACAUAGAGAAAGCACUCUUGCAGCUUUUCAUCCUUAUUAGACAGCUCGUCAUAGCUAAACUUCAAGCGCUGGAACAUCUGCUUCUCAAUGUCCCCGUCAUUCAACAAAUGCAUCUUCUGAUAGCGUUCUUCCCACACCUGCGGCCCGUCAUGCCUGUAGUCAGCCAUGGCACUGCCAAUCACUUCAAGAGCUAAAGGGAGCCCCUCACAUUUGCUAGCUAUUCUCUCGGCAACUUUCACAAUGUCCGGAUCACUAGGUAGUGAAUCAUAAAAGGCAAACUUCCAAAACAUCUUUUUGCUCUCGUCCUCUGAUAGCUCAUGCACAGGAAGUUCCUUUGCACCCAGCAUGCUCAAAAUGUCUUCCUUUCUGGUUGUUACCAGCACCCGGCUGUAAGAGGACGGCCCUGCUAUAAAAUCCAGUCCCUUGGCCAAGCUCAUCUCCCACACAUCAUCCAGUAUCAGCAAGACACAAAUUCCACGAGCAACAUUUUGUGCCAAGUGCUGCACAUGCUCAAGGGUGCCUGCAUUUUGGGCCCUCUCUCUCAUGCCGCCCCAGUCAAGAGCGUUGAGGAGCUGGGCCCUGAGAUCAUCCUCCGAUGCAUCUUUCUUGACAGUGAUCCAUACAAUGUUGUCAUGGAAAUGCUGCCGGACCCUCUGGUCAUUGUUCACGAAUCUUGCAAGGGUGGUCUUGCCACACCCUCCCAUUCCCAGGAGUCCAAACCAUUUCCCCGGGGCUUGUGGAUCCAGGAGGGCAUUCACCACCUCAUCCACCUGCUCCCCAUGGCGGCCAAACAUGUCGUUGGCCUCGGGAACACCACGCCGUACAUACUUUACGAGACCUCUGUCUUGUGGACAACUCCGUACGGAAAAGCUGGUGCUCGGCUGUAUCACUCUCAACUCUUCUCGCUCGUACCUUUCAAUCUGCGGGAGGAGAUCGUUCUCGCAAGUGCGUACCAGCUCCGAAAUCGCGCCAGAUCGCUUCUCCCUGCGCGACAGAUCCAUCUUUUAGCUCCAUUGCUUCAAACAUGAAUUCGAAUAAGCCUUACUGUGAUCCAAGCAGCGCUUGCGCCUUCUUAGUCCAUUCAGUCAGUUCAGUCAGCCACGCCUCAGCCUCACCAGAGUAGCGGAAAUCUGGAUUCCUGUGCUUGGGAGCAUUAAACUUGUCAAGCGUGGCCUGGAUUCUGGAUGCCCUCUUCUUUAGCUCCUCAAGUGGACAUUCAGCUCAAGCUCGUGACCCUUGAUCUGCGACAGGAGAUCGCCGUAGGCACUUAAGGACUUCGCGAUCUCGUUACUCCGCUUGUACCUAUAGGAAGUGGAGAAGUUCAACCAGCUGCCUGCCAUUUCUACACACACACACACACAAAAGAUAAAAUGCUACUGUACCGACCGCUUUAUGGGGCUCCAGAUCCUGUUGUUGCGUGAUCCCAAGAGUGCUUGUGCCGUGGUGUUCCAUUUCCUGACACGCUCCAAGCAUUCCUCGGCCGCUUCAGAGAACAUAAAGCCAGGUCCAUUUCGCUCCUUGAGAUCACCAAAAGCGUCGAUCUUGUCCUGGAUGUGGGGCGCCUUGUUCUCCAGCGUGUCAAUGUUGGCAUUGCAGUCCCAUAUCUUCUUAGCAGGGCCCAGAGCCAAGCCACACAAGGCGCUUGCCAAGGAGCCCACAACCUCCAUGCCUGUAGACCUACAAGCAAAGGUCGUCUCCCAGAACUCUUGGCCUUGGUACCCCCUCUUAAAAUGAACAGUAAUUUUCAGAGAGGUAUAAGCUGUUACAAGUGACUUGAGUUUAAUUGGAGUUGAUUGCUUGCAGUAGAGCGCGUAGUAGAGGGCCUCGUGCAGCACCCUCCCUCUUGCAAUGCCAGCUCUCUCUCUCUCUCUCUCUCAUUGCUCCGACAAGAAUGCUCCGACAUUGUAAGUUUCUCCAGGAGAGGUAACUUUUGUCGCUUUGUUUUAGUUGCACACAGAUAGGACGCCUUCCAGCUGACUGGGCCACGUGUUUGAUUGCUUUGGGUCAGGAAAACGUACUCUGGGUCAUUGUUCACUAUUUUUGAGACUAGAAAUGUAUAUGGUUUAUUUUGUAAUGGAAAACAAUAUACUUUUGAACUAGGAUAGUUACAAGAUAAACAUUAGCACUUUCUCAAGAAAUUCUAAAAAUGAGAAAAAAUAAAAAUAUGAAAAUUACAAAUGCAUAAUCAAAUGAAGCAAAAUUUUGUUAUAGUUAAAUUUUCAGGAUUCAUGGUACUUGAGGAAAUGAGAAUCUUGGCUAGCUGGAACUUGAUUUAGGACAUCAAGAAUUAUUUUAAAAUUGGAAUAAAACUUGGUUUUCCUUAUGGAUUUUCAACUACAUAUAAAAGAUGUACAUUCAUUCGUAUGACAAUAUUCUUUUGAUAAGAGCAUAGGUUGUGCUGUUUAACAAACAUAUGAUGUUUUUGACUGGAACUUUUAUGAAAAAAUUCCCACACUUCAAUAAGAAAACAAACAAAUUUAUAUUGUUUUUAUUUGCUGCUGAAUGUCCUCUUUUAAUUUUAUAUGAAUUGGGAUUGUUGGUUACAACUGCCAUACAUAUAACAUAUAAAUGUUCUAUUGCAAACACCUUUACCACAUAUUUAAUUCUUUCUUGGAUCCUCAUAAUAUAAUCAAUUGCCACUUCUAUAGAAUUGUCUUUAUUGUUACUUUUAUAGUAGUGUCCUUAUUGUGGGCACCUUUUGGAAAUUUGUGAUAAAUUACAUCCAAAACUAAAUAAAAGUAAUUCCAAACAUUGUUAUAGUAUGGCACAAUGCAAACUUCUCUAACUAGAGCAUCCAUUAGUAUUAAACUGAAUAUUCCCUAAAACUAGAAUAUGAGAACUUAUGUGGUGAUAUUUCAUUAGAGUUCUUCUUAGUUCACCUACAUAGUAAUUGAGAAAAAAUUAUUAGCUUCUACCAAAGAAAUAGACAGAUAAACAAUUUCUCACUAGUAAUAUUUAACACAAAUAAAGAUUUCGAUUGCAUCCCUAAUCCCAACUAAGAAUAUCUUUAUAAUUUGAGUAAAACAUAUAUCACUUGGGAAACCAUACAGUUAUAAACAUGAAAUAUAAUAUGAUUAUUACAAACUUACCAUCAUAGUUGUGUUUUGCUUUUGCACUAUAGCCUUAGCAUGUAUAACCACAAUUCUUAGCUCUUCUUCCUCCAAGACAUUUUCUUCAACAAAAUUAUUAUUAGAUAAAUUAUUCAUCAUUACUUCUAACAUCACUAGUGAUAAAUAUAAUAUUCUCUUGCAAAUCAUAUCCAAACAAAUUUGCUAGAUUAUAUGGUUUUAACUUUCCCCCCAAAUCCGAUUUAUUAUUUUCCACCGUGCUAUGUUGUGCAUUUUUAAUGAGAAUAAGUGUUUGCCUAUGCUUAUAAAAAGUAGAUUUGGUGAAAAAAUAACCUUUUGCUGCCCUUGUUGCAACACAUGAUAGAUAACGAUAAUUUUUCUUUCCUUUUUGCUUUAGUUUGGUAUGAACUAUUGAGAUGUGUCAUCUUCUGGCUAAUCUAGUGAUUUCAAUCCCCACACAAGUAUUGCAACCAACAUUACAAGGCAGACACAUUUUUCCAAAAUUUGUGAAACUUAAAAAUACACAAUUAUCACAUAUCUUUUAGUGUUUUUAAUGUUGUCAGCCUCGUGAUUUUUUGCUACUUUCUUUCAAAAACAUAAUAUUGUUACAAAUAUUAUUUUUGAGGUAUUUUUCAAGUCCUCACAUAGCAAAUUCAUGAUGGAGGUAGAAGAGAUAGAUUGCCCAAUCUGUGAUGCUUUUUGGGAUUGGGCUCAUAAGUAACAUUUGAUAAACAUAGAAUAUAGGAAAGUUAAGACUUUUUACUUGUUUUUAUUGAUAGAAGUUUCUUUAUUUUGGUAUCAUGCUUACUUUAGCAAAAAUCUUUAACUCUUUGAGUUAAGUAAGGAUAAUUGCUCUUCUCUAAAGCUAUGAAGGUUUUAGUGAAGAUCCGGCUCAUAUCCUUAUGCAUCCAAUGUGCCAAUUAUGUUUUUAAGUGAUUUUUUAUUUGGUUUUGGAAAUCUUUUGUUUACAAUUCUUAUAUGCACUACUAUUUUGUGUUGUUAGAAUUUACCAUUGCAUCCACAAUAACAUUAAUAUGUCUUCAAUUGACCUUGACAUGAUACAAGGUAGAUGAGUAUUCAAGGAUACCCUGUGAUUUGCAAAUAAUUUUGGACUUGGAAGAUGGUUGAGGUUGGGAUUGGUGGAAUAGAUGGCAUGCUAUUGUUUUACAUUAUAACAAGGUUCACCCCACCAUGGUGCUAUUUGGCCUAUAAAGAAAUUAGAGUGAUAUUUUUAAUUAUACAUUUUUUAAGAUAGUUAUGUUUUGGAUUAUUAGGGUAUAAGUUGUGAUUUGACGUUUGGAAGAAACUCUAUAACCUAGAAGUAAUUGAAGAGUCAAAAUAGUCCAAUGAUGCAACUAUGGAGAUAAAAAGUCUUUUUAGCGAGACCAUAAUAUUGGAUAUGGUAACAAAUAAAUUUGAUUUUGGAGAAAGUGAAGUAAAAGUUUUUAGUGCACAUAGUUAUAAAAGCAUAAUUAGCUAAAAUUAAUACAAGUUUGUUACUCAAUUUAUAUAUAUUUUUUACAUUUGAACCUCCCACUUGUGAACUAGAGUUUGUAUAGUAGGGUUUAGUGGGCGGCGAGAUUGUAGAGGUGCUAGGUUUUGUAUUUGCUCAUCAUUCUAGUUGAAUUGACGAGCUGAGAUAAGGUAAGCAAUGGGUGAAAAUACACAAAGUGAAUCCCUUUUUUUUUUUCCUCAAAUAUUGAUAACCCUAGCAAAAUUGAAUGGACCAUUUAGCAAGGGAUUGUAUAAAUAAAUUAUGAGUGUUUGUUUGGCUAAAGUGUUGCCAAACUUCCAUAACAAGAUUGAGAGUAAUGGAUUUUUUAAAGAGGAUCAUUUCAAGCUCAACAUUUUGAUAUGGAUGAGUAUUAGAGUAAAAACAGGAGAUGCAAUUCAAUUGACAAAGACACUCAAAAAUCUCAAUCGUCAAAGUAGGUAUGCCUUAAAAAGCAUGCCCAAAAUAAAAGCCCUCCACGAAGACAAUAGUGCCAACCAAUACCCACUUAAAAAUAAAACACACCAAAUCAAGGAUUAUGAGAGUAGCAACCAAGGUUUGCAACACCAAUUUUCAAUGUUAAAAAGUACUCUAAGCGUUUACUAGAUUUUUUAUUAACUUUAUUUGGCAAAAAUCUACUUUAUGAGUUAUUGUAAAUCUUUCCUAAUUACAAAAGAGGAUACUUCAAAUGUGAAAGGUAAGUGGAGCAGAGAACUAAGCUAAUUGAGCAAGUUUAUGAGUGCAAAUUGGAUAAUCAUUUCAUUUUGUGUUUAUAAGUUCAAGAUAAAAGACAUCUUCAUUGUAUUGUGAUAUUAACUUAAAAAAUCAAUAGUUGCUAAAAUAGAGCAAAUAAAAGAGUUUAUAAAAUACUUGUAUGACUACAGUGUUGUGGAUCUCCUUGCAUUUAAGUCAAAUAUAAGGUUAGCAUUGAUAGAUCUUGAAUUUUUUAAGGUACAAACCAUAUUAGUUUCAAUGGAAAAAACCUCAUAAUUUUCAAUAUAGCUUUUGCAAUAUCUUCAAAUAGCAAGGAUAAAAAAUUUUUAAAAAUGGCAAUGAGUUAGAACUACAAUAAUUAAGAAAGUUUAUAAUGGCACACUCAUUUGAAAGUAUAAAGCCCUACGAGUGAGGAUAAUUUCACUCAUAGAUAAGGAUUUACUUCCCAUAUAAAGGUUUUUUUCACAUGUGAAGUAAAUCUUUUUUAGGAUGGCAUUCUAAAAUUAUACUCAACAUUAAAGAUAAAGGUAUGCACUAAUUUUAAAUUUUAAGUUCAGGAGAUGUAUUGGCAUAAGUGCAUAAAGGCCAUUGUCAUUAGCAAGGAUAAUGAAAAAAUUAUUAAAGUGGUAUUCUUUUCAAAAUAAUUUUGUAGUUUUUAAUUUUUAUUUAUGUAGCUCUAGACUAAAUCAUAUGGCAACGAACGUGAGGAGCAACCCCCAUACCUUACUAAACAGGAUUGAUGAAGAAAUUGAGUGUAAGAUUAUAACCAAGAAGAAAAAGGUAAAUUUCAUAGUAAAGCUUAAUUGUAUAUAUGGACUAAUAUUUUCUGGCACUAUUUACAAAUAGAAGAACACUGAAAGUGCUUCCUUAAAUAUUUUUUAUUAAAAUGUGGAUAAUAUUAUAAAAAUAAUUUAUUGUUUUGCAACAAUCUUCACUAAACAUUGUUUUUUUUAUGCUUGUGUGUAUUAAUUAUAACUAACUUGUAUGACUUUCUAACUAUUAUCCACAAUAGUAAAAGCUCAGCCUAUGGCUAUAAAUAUUUAUAAAGAGGUGUGUUAAUUCUUAUGCUUGUAUAUAUUAUAUAAUAUAACUUUAUUUAUUUAUUUAGUUAAUAUUGGCAAAAUUGCAAAACAACAAAAAAGUCCAGCUAAAUAAUAAGACUACUCUUUCUGUGUAUGAGGCAAAAGAAGUGGAAUACACUAUAAAAGCACAAAAAGAAUCAAUAACUAUUAAUAAAGUAAUAUAAUAACAAAUCAAUUUAAGUAGUUUUUUUUUUCACUCAAAUUUAGCAAAUACUUGCAAGAAUUUUCUAAGCUUAACAUAGAAAUUCUAAAAAAAUUAAUGGAAUCGCUCCUUGAAUUUAAGUUUCAUGAAGUAAUUCUAUAAGAAUGAAAACCAUAUUUACCAGUUGCUAAAUGCUUGCAAAAUUAAAACUGAACAAACCUUAAAGGACAUUGUUGAGCAGAGUGUAAAGUUUGGACAAUUGAUUAUAUCUAAAGAGGCCUGGUUCAUAAAUACUUGGGACUAUACCACUAUAACAUUAAAAAAUUAAAAUGUAAUUAAAACCAUAUCUAUAAAUAUGGUUCUAUAUAUAAAAAAUUGCUACGCCUUGCAUGUAGCAACGCUUGGUUUGCUUAAUAGUAGUUUUAUUAUUACUUAUUAAUCUAAUUGAUCAAAUAAAGUUUAUAAUUAUAAGCAUGUUUGUAAUUUAUAAACACAAGAUUAAUCUUAUUGCAUAUCAACCAUUAGAUGAUAGAAUAAAAAAGAAUAUACUAGAAAGGGUUUAGGAAAGUUUAUAAAUUAUAAACAUGUUUAUAAAUUAUAAAUACCAGAUUAAUCUAAAUGAAUACCAACCGUUAGAUGGUAGAAUAUCCUAGAAUAUCCAAGCUUAUUCUAGGUAUAUUCACUACCAUCCUAUAGGUUUGCUUAAGCAAACCAAAAAUUUAUAUGCAACACUAUAUCUGAAUUGUGAAUAAAAUUAUGUGAACAAAAUUGGCAAACAUCAGUUUCAAAACUAUAUAGGUAUCAGUAAACUAUAUAGAAAAGCAUAUGUACAUUUAUUCUCAAAAUACAACUCAAUCAUAUUCAAAACUAUACAAAAAACCAUUCAUUAUGAUUGCCAAAUAGAGCAUAAAUCAUGAUGAAAACUAUGUAUGGUUGUAGUCCCAAAACCAAUGCAUUAACAAUUUAGAAACCAAUCAUGAAACCAUUAAAGUCACAUAUGGUUUAACACAACCAUCUUGUUUUGGUACUAAUUAUAGUAAAAAACCAUAUUGAUGAGCGUGUUGUGGUUGUAAUGCUGGGCAACACUCCGGGUUUUGGNNNNNNNNNNNNNNNNNNNNNNNNNNNNNNNNNNNNNNNNNNNNNNNNNNNNNNNNNNNNNNNNNNNNNNNNNNNNNNNNNNNNNNNNNNNNNNNNNNNNNNNNNNNUUCCAUCGGCAGUGGAUCGCCAAAAACUCCUGCAAAAGCUGAGGCUUCUAGGACAGCAAAAAUUGCCGAGGUGAGCAAUGAUAGUGGAGCAGAGGAUUUAUAUGAUUCGGGAGUAGAAAGUGGAGCAAUCGAUGGUGGGGAAGAAGAGGUAAACAAGAUCAUGACUGGAGGAGGAAACGAUGCCGAGGUGGAAAGAACAACAGUGGUGGAGAGCUCCAUUGAGACUGUCAGGAAACAUGGCGAGGCUGUUUCUAGAGCCUUAGCUGGACUUUCAAUCAGAGGUAGUGCCUUGACCCACGGUAAUCCCGUUAAGAUGGAAGCUGGUUGUGGUUCCGUGAAAGCUGAAGCUUCGGUUUCGAUCGCAGCUGGAUGUGAUCCUACGAAAGUAGAUGGCUUGGUGAAGAUGGAAGCUGGUUGUUUUAGAUGCAGAGAGGUGGUGGCUUCUCCAAGAGACUGAAGUUGCCGGGUACUCGACGUCCAGGGGAUGACGGAUUCGUGUUGGCGAGUUCGUGUCCUUCAAUUUUCCCAAGCCUGAAGCCGAAAGUAAGAAGAAGUUCUUUGAGCACAAGAAGGUUCGGCCGAAAGCGAGCUCCGACAUUGUAAGGUUCUUGACAAAAGCUUCAGGAGAGGUACGUUUCACUUGACUUGUUUCUUCGUUUUAAUUCUAACCAUUUGACAGAUAGAACGGCUUCCAGCCGACUGGGCCAAGUGUUUGAUACCUUUGGGAAGUGCAAAUGGUACCAGAGGCUCUUUCUCUUAUGAGCAGAUUACGGCAAGCUUGUGAACAUCCUUUUCUUGUUCUGAGGUAGAAAAUGCAUCCUCUUAUGUCUGAAGUUCCUGACGUUUUCUUCGUCACGCAGCCGUGGCGAUACUGAAGACUUUGCGGACCUGGGAAAGCUGGCUAGACGUUUCUUGGACAAGAAUUCCUCCCUGGUGCCUUCGACGGCGUAUGUCAAAGAGGUGGUGGAUGAUAUUCGUAAAGGAGAAAGUGCUAAUUUGUUUGGAGAUGCACGCAGUUCUUACACCAUGCGCUCAUCGACUGUGCCGUGAGUGCCUAUUUAAUAGCUGGCGUACUAGCGCCGGAGGUCCCUGUCCAAUAUCCGAGGUAACAUAUUGUUUUUUUUUCUCGAGCUCUUUUCCAUAUCCAUAGCUAUCAUGCAGGCGUUCCUGUACGAAAUAGGAACUCAUAACCUCCAAACGUUAAGUGAGGCCGGGUCGAAAAGCGUUGUUUUAAGUCAGUGGACAGCGUUUCUCGACUUGUUAGAGAUACCAUUGAAAAGGUACGAGCGUCUUUCCUUUUGGUGCUUUCUCUUUGUUUGUGUUUCUAACAAUGCACUGCCAGGAAGAACUUCUGUUUCGUCCGCUUGGACGGAACACUAUCGCAGCGUCAGCGAGAACAAGUGCUCAAAAACUUCAGCAAUAUUCCAGCCGUGGCCGUAAGCUUUUUGUGUUGCUUACCUCCAAGAAACCACUCUAUUUUGUGGACAGGUCAUGCUCAUGCUUUUCUCAUGGUAUGCGCUAUAGUUUUCUUUCUUAGCCAUCUUCCGAGUCGAGCAUCGGUCAGACGAAGAACGUAUCGAUCAAGCGAUUCAUCGUCAAAGUAAGCGCCACUUGAAACUCUCUUUGACGUUUCUCAUGUCUCUAGAGCAGGACUCGGUGGAGGAGAGAAUGCAACAGGUCCAAGCGAGGAAGCAAGGAUUGAUCGCGAGGGCUCUCACAGACGAAGAGGUGCGAAGCGCUCGAAUCGAGGAGCUCAAAAUGCUAUUUAGAUGAGAAGAACUGGAGUCCUUAUCAUUUUUUUAACUUAUAUCUAGUUAAAUAGGGGAAUAUGCUUCUAGCAUCGGCGCGUAUAUUCUUCGGAUAGUUCAAUGAAUGAAUGUGUUAUAUGCGGACAGCGAAGGAGCAGGCGAUCGCGUCGCAAGCGCGUUUUGCAUCGGCGACGAGCAAGGUAUGCAUGCUAGGAUCGCCUCGAGAAGCAGCAGCAGCGCCAGCGCCGGCGCCGCGCCGCGAUUUGAGCCGGAGUAGCCGAUCUAGAUUCAUGCAAGCAUCCGAUCUCUAGGAAAUUGAGCUGAAAGCUGAGGCUUUGUAGGCGAUCGCGUUGAUUCCUCUCGUCUCCGCGGCCGGGGCGGCUAGAAAGCCGGGGCACAUUCUAGAGUUUCGGGGUUUCUGGGGCGAUCAGUCAUGUAUCGGGCAGUGAUUCUCUCACAGGGAGCUGGAAGUCAGCCAUGACGUGGAAUCCGCAACAAGUUCCUCCCAGCUUGUCCGCCUUGACUGCCACUACUCAGGCCGAGGAUGAACUGGGCGUGGAUGUGUCGUCUCCCAGCGGCGAUUUGCUACUCCAUUUUCUCGAGCGGUGGGGGCGACGAGCAGCUGAGGAGCAAUAUUAACUCUUGACCUUGUAGAUCGGAAUUCUUCACUUUUUUCACAGCUGUGACUCACUCACUCUAAGAGAUUCACAGUGAGCACCGCAACGAUCGCUACAUCGCUCGCAAGAAACACCUCUAUUUGUACAAACAGACAAACGUGGAGCACGUAAAGUACUUGUGCCUUUGGCCUAAAACGGGCAUCUUAAAGAUGCGACACGCCCGAGAAGAACAUCGUCUUUUCUCUUGUACGGCGUUGAUCCAGGCGUACGGGAAUAGAGGGCUCCUCUGCCGAUCUUUGAUGGGAUCCGGGCGAUCUUGUCACCGACGUCUUGAAAGAUCUUAGAUUCUAUCCGCAAUCGCCCAGUCAAUGCGAUCCUGGCGAUGGGUGCUCCAUAUCAUUCUAUUCCCGCCCGGACGUGAUCUCCAGGAUUUGCGAAGAAGAAGCUCGUCGAUCAGAUGGCGCGCAAUUGAUUGGGGCUUCCCGCUACAUUUUCCCGCGCUACUUCUCCAUUCUAGGGUUCUUUCUUGGAGGCGACGUAGGUUUUCUAUUGCCCGCGUGGUCGAGGAGACGGCGCUGGGGGGCGGCCUUGAUCGGCGUUCUGGAGCUGCACAGGUAAUGGGGCUCGACACUCCGGGUUUUAGAAAUAGGAAGAGGCUCCAGCUUAAGGCUCCGACGAGCAGUGCCAAGGCGAGGAGCCCCAGCCAGCGUUGGUAAAUCGUGGACGACAGGGAGCUCUAGAUGUACGGUGACAACAAAGGUCCCUGCGGCAAAAUGUUCCAUCGGCUGUGGAUCGCCAAAAACUCCCGCAAAAGCUGAGGCUUCUAGGACAGCAAAAAUUCCCGAGGUGAUUGUUGAUAGUGGAGCAGAGGAUUUAGAUGAUUCGGGAGUAGAAAGUGGAGCAAUCGAUGGUGGGGAAGAAGAGGUAAACAAGAUUAAGACUGGAGGAGGAAACGAUGCCGAGGUGGAAAGAACAACAGUGGUCGAGAGCUCCAUUGAGACUGUCUGGAAACAUGGCGAGGCUGUUUCUAGCGCCUUAGCUGGACUUUCAAUCAGAGGUAGUGCCUUGACCCACGGUAAUCCCGUUAAGAUGGAAGCUGGUUGUGGUUCCGUGAAAGCUGAAGCUUCGGUUUCGAUCGCAGCUGGAUGUGAUCCUAUGAAAGUAGAUGGCUUGGUGAAGAUGGAAGCUGGUUUUGAGUCUGCAAGAGUCGAAGCUCCGGUUGGCUCGCUGAAGAUGGAACCUGGUUAUGAUACUGUGAAAGUUGAAACUCCAUUCGGGGGUGGUACAGCUGCCCAUUUGUCUGAAGCGAAGGUGGUUCCAAUAGAAAAUGACACGGCUAAAGCUGCAGAGAAGCAACUGGUUGUUUUAGAUGCAGAGAGGUGGUGGCUUCUCCAAGAGACUGAAGUUGCCGGGUACUCGACGUCCAGGGGAUGCUGGAUUCGUGUUGGCGAGUUCGUGGCCUUCAAUUUUCCCAAGCCUGAAGCCGAAAGUAAGAAGAAGUUCUUUAAGCACAAGGGGUUCGGCCGAAAGCGAGCUCCGACAUUGUAAGGUUCUUGACAAAAGCUUCAGGAGAGGUACGUUUCACUUGACUUGUUUCUUCGUUUUACUUCUAACCAUUUGCUCACAGAUAGGACGGCUUCCAGCCGACUGGUCCAAGUGUUUGAUACCUUUGGGAAGUGCAAAAUGGCACCAGAGGCUCUUUCUCUUAUGAGCAGCAUAGUUCUCCAUUUGAGGUAGAGUUUCUGUGUUAACCAGAGACGUUACGUAUAUGAUGUGCUUGCAGAGUUUAUAUCAACAAGUCAGAAGCCUUACGAGGAGGGGGUUGAGCGCGGAUUGAAGCUUCUGCAAGCUAUCUUGAAGCCGUUAAUGCUUCGAAGAACAAAACAAAAGAUUCACAAGUUGGAUUCACAGACCAAUUCUUGUUCUCCAACCGGCUCAAUGUCAGGUUAUUGAAUGCAAACUAUCUGAGCCUGAACGUGAUUUUUAUGAUGCCCUUUACCACAGAUCUAAGGCAUGCUUUCGGAUUGAACUUCUUUUCUCUUUUUUCUGAACACGUUUUUGCGUUUGUGAUCAGGUAAAAUUCGAUCAGUUCGUUGGACAAGGUAAAGUUCUCCAUAACUAUGCGUCGAUCCUCGAACUGCUACUUCGAUUACGGCAAGCUUGUGAUCAUCCUUUUGUUGUUCUGAGGUAGAACAUGCAUCCUCUUAUGUCUGAAGUUCCUGACGUUUUCUUCGUCACGCAGCCGCGGCGAUACUGAAGACUUUGCGGACCUUGGAAAGCUGGCUAGACGUUUCUUGGACCCAAAGUCCAGGCUCUGCUGCACCACCUCCAGACGUUAAGUGAGGCCGGGUCGAAAAGCGUUGUUUUUAGUCAGUGGACAGCGUUUCUCGACUUGUUAGAGAUACCAUUGAAAAGGUACGAGCGUCUUUCCUUUUGGCGCUUUCUCUUUGUUUGUGUUUCUAACAAUGCACUGCCAGGACGAACUUCUGUUUCGUCCGCUUGGACGGAACACUAUCGCAGCGCUCAAAAACUUCAGCAAUAUUCCAGCCGUGGCUGUAAGCUUUUUGUAUUGCUUACCUCCAAGAAACCACUCUAUUUUGUGGACAGGUCAUGCUCAUGCUUUUCUCAUGGUACGCGCUAUAGUUUUCUUUUUUAGCCAUCUUCGGAGUCGAGAAUGUGGACGAUCGAGCAUCGGUCAGACGAAGAACGUAUCGAUCAAGCGAUUCAUCGUCAAAGUAAGCGCGAGUUGAAACUCUCUUUGACGUUUCUCAUGUCUCUAGAGCAGGACUCGGUGGAGGAGAGAAUGCAACAGGUCCAAGCGAGGAAGCAGCGAUUGAUCGCGAGGGCUCUCACAGACGAAGAGGUGCGAAGCGCUCGAAUCGAGGAGGUCAAAAUGCUAUUUAGAUGAGAAGAACUGGAGUCCUUAGCAUUUUUUUAACUUGUAUCAGUCUACAUAGUUAAAGAGGGGAAUAUGCUUCUAGCAUCGGCAGAGGAUGGCUAGGUUACAAGCAUUUCUAGGUUUCUUCGCGGCUAUGGCGGACAGCGAAGGAGCAGGCGAUCGCGUCGCAUGCGCGUUUGAUUCCGGCAGCAUCGGCGACGAGCAAGGUAUGCAUGCUAGGAUCGCCUCGAGAAGCAGCAGCAGCGCCAGAGCCAGAGUAGCCGAUCUAGAUUCAUGCAAGCAUAUGAUCUCUAGGAAAUUGAGCUGAACGCUGAGGCUUUGCAGGCGAUCGCGUCGAUUCCUCUCGUCUCCGCGGCCGGGUGGCUAGAAAGCCGGGGCGCAUUCUAGAGUUUCGGGGUUUCUGGGGCGAUCAGUCAUGUAGCGGGCAGUGAUUCUCUCACAGGGAGCUGGAAGUCAGCCAUGACGUGGAAUCCGCCACAAGUUCCUCCCAGCUUGUCCGCCUUGACUGCCACUACUCAGGCCGAGGAUGAACUGGGCGUGGAUGUGUCGUCUCCCAGCGGCGAUUUGCUACUCCAUUUUCUCAAGAGCUGUGAGCAGCUGAGGAGCAGUCGCAGCUACAGGACCCAGCAGUCGCAGGUCACGGUCCCUGCCACAGCUUUGCUCCCUCUGGAGGACCUGGAGGAGAAGGUCCUCCUCCACGACCACUCUACGUCCCAGCAAUAAGAUUUGGUGGGUGGUCACCUCACUUCCAGCAGCACCAAGACCCACUUUUCCCUUCGGAUCCAUUCUUGACUCCGUCGAACCACUGAUUUCUACGCUCGUUUGCUCCUCUUCCAGUCGAGAUCCGCCAGUGCCGUAUCCUUUUCCAAAUGCUCCGACUUUCCAGCCUGCUGAUAAUGUGGUUCAUCCGCCGCAUUCCUCUGGGGAGCUUAAAGCUCGUCCUGGCCUUCACUUGGAGUCUCCGGUGUUUGGACCCAGCGCAGCUGAGACCUCGGACUCCAAACGCGCCCCAGAGCAGCCGAGGAGAUCGGUUACACCUGCGAAGGAUGACAAGCAACAAUUCCACGGCAAUGGUUCCGAGCUCCUUCAGUUGUUACAGGGUGGUCCUGGUCGUGUUAAGCCCACAGCCUCCACAAAGGUGGAUGCUACACAGGACAGUGGGGAUUCUGGAGAGCCAUCAAAGAAAGGAAGUCCAUCUGCUGUUCACGGUCCCAUAGGACCGCCGAGGCGUCAUGUCGUUUCUCCUCCGCAGAGUCCAAAUGACCUCCUUGGACGUUUGUGGGCUGCUCUUCCGUCGUCAAGCCACACUUUGUUUGACGGAGAAAGCGAACGCAAGCCGCCAGCCCGGAGCUUUGGCGUUGAAGUGAACGAGAUGUCCCGGGAAGUCGAUGGAGGUGGAGCUGCUGGUUUCGCACUUUUGAAGCGAAGAGGAUCGGAGCCUGCCGCCUCGCACUACCUUUAAACGGCUACGACUAUAACGACUCUAAGACAAAUGAUAAGCCGAGGACAAACUCGGCAUCCGGAAGACUACAGGACUAUCGUGGGAGAUACGUAAAUGGAGAGGCCGAAUUUGAGCCCGGAGGCGAUGACUUUAGAGGUGCGGGAAGGCGUCGAGGUACCGGUCGUGCAGACGCCAGACGCGGUGGUCGGGGUGCUGUUGGCCAGUGGAUUGCGGUAAGUGAGAGGCAUAAAGAUGCUGAGCCAAGUGACAUCACCUCCUGCGGUAUCUCUGAUGGAAGGGACGAGUCGCUUAAAUCUUGAAACGGGACUUAGUCGAAUGCUCGGAGAAAACAUCAACAGGAAUGGAGGAUAAAACAGGCCGACUCAAAGGCAGCAUUUCCAGCGGAGGAAAAACCGGACUACAAGGUUGCAAAGGCACGGUCUUUGGCAUCUCAACUUGAACGUCCAGGCUUGCCAUCGGGAAGUACGCAAAACUCUUCCGUUGGCGCGGCUUUUGAGGAGUCCAAACAGAGGCUCCAUAAUCUAGAUGCUUUGGAAGGAGAGGGCGUGACGACCUCUCUAGAUCUCGAGGAGCUACAAAUUGACGGUCACCGUCGUGAGGGUAAAGCUCCACAGUUUUACAAGGUUUGUGCUUGCUUUUUCUCUUUCUUUAUUUUCAUGUGUUUGUAUCUCUGGUUACAGCCGAAGGAGAACCGUUUCAGGACCUCUGAAGAAGAACUAAAGGUAUGCAUAUGCAUAUUCUUAAUAUUGUUAUGUUUUCCAUGUUUUACCAUUUACUCUAUACACCAGAUUUUAAAAUACUCAAAACCACGAGAGUAAAGUAAUAUCCUGAGAAUACGAUUUGUAAGAAAAACAGAAACUGUCUCUUCUCCAAACGCUGCUGACGGCUUGGAAAUCUCUGUUUUUGUUUUUUGAGUGAUGCAAAAUAGUGUAGCAUUUGCGCAGAUCGAGAACCCAAUCGAUGUCCACUGAAGGAGCAAGGUUUAAUCCCAGAAUGUUAUAUGGACAUCCGGCCGCUCCUCAAGCCAUGGUGGAACUUUCGUACCUUUUUCGCAGCAUAGGACUUUGAGCCUUGGAAAUAAGCCAAGGCCGUGAUUGUCUGAACUCAAUUGGGGCCACACUACAUCAUCAUGAUCAUAGAGCCUAAGCAUCUCCAAUCCUGGAAGGGAUGCAAUGGAUGAUGGAAUAUUUUCGAUCCUAACCAAGGUUACAUAUUCUAGAGCAGUCAUCUGGUCUGUUGGCCCAAAGAAAUCAUUGGGGAGCUGCCUCAUACAGCCCUUCCGCAAAAAUAAUGUGAAUUGUUUCACCUUCAGCUGUGAUCUCUCGGUUGGCAUCAAGAGUCUCCUCGUGUAACCUUCUACUCUCAGUUCAAAAAGGUCAUUGGGGAGUUGUGUCACAAAGAGAGGCAAAUGCUCCCAUGUAUUAUCAGGAGCCAGAUUGAAUGUUAAGGUCUUCAGGUUUGGAAGACUUGCUGCCAAAUCAUCCUUGAACUCCGACUGUGCAAUGUGCAGAUUUUCAAGCUCCAGCCAUUCGAGGCAUGGGAACAAUCCAUCCAGACUGAAGAACCGGAUACCACUGCAGUCUAGGUGAAGUUCUCGUAGCCGUUGAAAGACCUUUAGCCAAGACAGGUCUUUCAUUGUCUCAUUGUUUGUGAUGGAUAAAGCUUGUAGCUGUGGCCAUUCAAGGGUUUCGGCAUUGUUUUCACCGUCUUGUACCCCGUCGAUUGAAAAGUGCUGAAGCUGGUUGGAAUUCUUAAACAUUCGCUUCCAGUCAAGUUUGAUAGUCGAUUCCACAUAAAUGUGACAUCGUCUUAGAUUGACAAGUUGCCACGGGCCUGUGAAAUCGCCAAAGUCCAUGCUCUUUGCACGCAACACCAGUGUCUCAAUGUCCACUAGUGCACCAAGGCUGUGAGGUAUUUUUAUUGUUGCAUUGUAGAGUUUUAGCUCUAAAUGUCUUAGCUUGUGUAGGCUUGAAAUUCCACUCAAACCUAUGACCACAGCUAACUCCUUACAAGAUUCAAGCUCCAGCUCUUCCAAGUUGAAUAAUUGGGGCAGUAAUGCAAAGUUGAAUUUUCUGAUCUUCUUGCAUUUAAAAACCUUCAGUGAUGUCAAGCUGAAGAGCGCAUCUGGCAAUUGAGGCGCAUCAUCGAAGGAUCGAACGUCAAGCACUUGAAGGUUUCUCAGCUUGGAUAUGCUAUCUGGAAUAAAACGGACCAAAUUAUAGCAUCUAUUCAAGCUCAAUACCUUGACAUUUUGGAUGUGAUCUAUAAUAAGACUGACAUCCACACCAGAAAUUCCACGACAUCCAUCGAGAAGCAAGACAUCUCGCACAUGAAUGUCAGACAAAAGGCUGCUUGUAACCUUCUUUCCAAUGAAUGAAACUUUAGAAAAUGUUGGAGAAAUCCCAGGUGGACAAUCAUAGCCAAACAGGCAUCCCUUCUCGUGCUCUUCCUGGGGUGGGUACUUCCCUUUCAAGAUUCUUAUGCACAGCUUGCGUACCAUAUCGUGCACAGUUACAUACUUAUCAGUUGUCUUCACUAGGCAUCUUCGUUCCAGUUCACUAACAAUCUGCAGAGGCGAGAGUUCUGACCCAACCGCUAUCCAACAUUUUCUCAGAUCAUCAAACUCGAUUUGCUCAUCUUCUGGAAACGCAGCCACAUAGAGAAAGCACUCUUGCAGCUUUUCAUCCUUAUUAAAGCGUCCCAGCUCGUCAUAGCUAAACUUCAAGCGCUGGAACAUCCGCUUCUCAAUGUCCCCGUCAUUCAACAAAUGCAUCUUCUCAUAGCGUUCUUCCCACACCUGCGGCCCGUCAUUCCUGUAGUCAGCCAUGGCACUGCCAAUCACUUCAAGAGCUAAAGGGAGCCCCUCACAUUUGCUAGCUAUUCUCUCGGCAACUUUCACAAUGUCCGGAUCACUAGGUAGUGAAUCAUAAAAGGCAAACUUCCAAAACAUCUUUUUGCUCUCGUCCUCUGAUAGCUCAUGCACAGGAAGUUCCUUUGCACCCAGCAUGCUCAAAAUGCCUUUCUUUCUGCUUGUUACCAGCACCCGGCUGUAAGAGGACGGCCCUGCUGUAAAAUCCAGUCCCUUGGCCAAGCUCAUUUCCCACACAUCAUCCAGUAUCAACAAGACAUGGUUGCCACGAGCAACAUUUUGUGCCAUCUGUUGCACAUGCUCAAUGGUGCCUGCAUUUUGGGCCCUCUCCUUCAUGUCGCCCCAUUCAAGAGCGUUGAGGAGCUGGGCCCUGAGAUCAUCCUCCGAUGCAUCUUUCUUGACAGUAAUCCACACAAUGUUGUCAUGGAAAUGCUGCCGGACCCUCUCGUCAUUGUGCACGAAGCUUGCAAGGGUGGUCUUGCCACACCCUCCCAUUCCCAGGAGUCCAAACCAUUUCCCCGGGGCUUGUGGAUCCAGGAGGGCAUUCACCACCUCAUCCACCUGCUCCCCAUGGCGGCCAAACAUGUCGUUGGCCUCGGGAACACCACGCCGUUCAUACUUUACGAGACCUCUGUCUUGUGGACAACUCCGUACGGAAAAGCUGGUGCUCCGCUGUAUCGCUCUCAACUCUUCUCGCUCGUACCUUUCAAUGUGCGGGAGGAGAUCGUUCUCGCAAGUGCGUACCAGCUCCGAAAUCGCGCCAGAUCGCUUCUCCCUGUGCGAAAGAUCCAUCUUUUAGCUUCAUUGCUUCAAACAUGAAUUCGAAUAAGCCUUACUGUAAUCCAAGCAGCGCUUGCGCCUUCUCAGUCCAUUCAGUCAGUUCAGUCAGCCACGCCUCAGCCUCACCAGAGUAGCGGAAAUCUGGAUUCUUGUGCUUGGGAGCAUUAAACUUGUCAAGCGUGGCCUGGAUUCUGGAUUGCCUCUUCUGUAGGUCCUCAAUGUGGACAUUCAGCUCAUGCUCGUGACCUUGGAUGUGCGACAGGAGAUCGUCGUAGGCACUUAAGGACUUCGCGAUGUCGUUACUCCGCUUGUACCUAUAGGAAGUGGAGAAGUUCAACCAGCUGCCUGCCAUUUCUACACACACACACACACAAAAGAUAAAAUGCUACUGUACCCACCGCUUUAUGGGGCUCCAGAUCCUGUUGUGGCGUGAUCCCAAGAGUGCUUGUGCCGUGGUGUUCCAUUUCCUGACACGCUCCAAGCAUUUCUCGGCCGCUUCAGAGAACGUGAAGCCAGGAUUCUGCUGCUUGUGAACACUGAAAGCUUCGAUCUUGUCCUGGAUGUGGGGCGCCUUGUUCUCCAGCGUGUCAAUGUUGGCAUUGCAGUCCCAUAUCUUCUUAGCAGGGCCCAGAGCCAAGCCACACAAGACGCCUGUCAAGGAGCCCACAACCUCCAUGCUUGUAGCCCUACAAGUAAAGGUCGUCUCCCAGAACUCUUGGCCUUGGUACCCCCUCUUAAAAUGAACAGUAAUUUUCAGAGAGGUAUAAGCUGUUACAAGUGACUUCAGUUUAAUUAGAGUUGAUUGCUUGCAGUAGAGCGAGUAGUAGAGGGCCUCGUGCAGCACCCUCCCUCUUGCAAUGCCAGCUGUGGCUCUCUCUCUCUCUCUCUCUCUCAUUGCUCCGACAUUGUAAGUUUCUCCAGGAGAGGUAACUUUUGUCGCUUUGUUUUAGUUGCACACAGAUAGGACGCCUUCCAGCUGACUGGGCCACGUGUUUGAUUGCUUUGGGUCAGGAAAGCGUACUCUGGGUCAUUCUUCACUAUUUUUGAGACUAGAAAUGUAUAUGGUUUUACUUUUGAACUAGGAUAGUUUAUAUGUUUUAAUAUAGUUAACACUCUGGAACUUGAUUUAUAAUAUUAAGGACAUCAAGAAUUAUUUUAAAAUUGGACUAAAACUUGAUUUUCCUUAUGGAUUUUCAACUACAUAUAAAAGAUGUACAUUCAUGUAAUUUAUUCAUAUGACAAUAUUCUUUUGAUAAGAGCAUAGGUUGUGCUGUUUAACAAACAUAUGAUGUUUUUGACUGGAACUUUUAUGAAAAAAUUCCCACACUUCAAUAAGAAAAUAAACAAAUUUAUAUUGUUUUUAUUUGCUGCAGAAUGUCCUUUUUUAAUUCUAUAUGAAUUGGGAUUGUUGGUUACAACUUCCAUACAUAUAACAUAUAAAUGUUCUAUUGCAAACACCUUUACCACAUAUUUAAUUCUUCCUUGGAUCCUCAUAAUAUAAUCAAUUGCCACUUCUAUAAAAUUGUCUUUAUUGUUACUUCUAUAGUAGUGUCCUUAUUGUGGGCACCUUCUGGAAAUUUGUGAUAAACUACAUCCAAAACUAAAUAAAAGUAAUUCCAAACAUUGUUAUAGUAUGGCACAAUACAAACUUCUCUAACUAGAGCAUCCAUUAGUAAGAUGCAAAUAUGAUUAAACUGAAUAUUCCCUAAAACUAGAAUAUGAGAACCUAUGUGGUGAUAUUUCAUUAGAGUUCUUCUUAGUUCAUCUACAUAGUAACUGAGAAAAAAUUAUUAGCUUCUACCAAAGAAAUAGACAGAUAGACAAUUUCUCACUAGUAGUAUUUAACACAAAUAAAGAUUUCAAUUGCACCCCUAAUCCCAAUUAAGAAUAUCUUUAUAAUUUGAGUAAAAUAUAUAUCACUUGGAAAACCAUAUAGUUAUAAGCAUGAAAUAUAAUAUGAUUAUUACAAACCUACCACCAUAGUUGUGUUUUGCUUUUGCACUAUGAUUUUAGCAUGUAUUGCCACAAUUUUUAAUUCUUCCUCUUUCAUGACAUUUUCUUCAACCAAAUUAUCAUUAGGUAAACUAUUCAUCACUCAUUCCAACAUCACUAAUGACAAAUAUAAUGUUCUCUCACAAAUCAUAUCCAAACCCAUUUGCUAGAUUAUAUGGUUCUGACUUUCCCCCCAAAUCCACUCUAUUAUUUGUCACCGUGCUAACUUAUGCAUUUUUAGUGAGAGUAAGUGUUUGCCUAUGCUUAUAGAAAGUAGAUUUGGUGAAAAAAUAACCUUUUGCUGCCCUUGUUGCAACAUAUGAUAGACAACAAUAAUUUUUCUUUCCUUUUUGAUUUAGUUUGGUAUGAACCAUUGAGAUGUGUCAUUUUCUAGCUAAUCUAGUGAUUCUAAUCCCCAGACAAAUAUUACAAUCAACAUUACAAGGCAAACACAUUCUUGCAAAACUUGUGAAACUUAAAAAUACACGAUUAUCACAUAUUUUUUAGUGUUUUUAAUGUUGUCAGCCUUGUGGUUUUUUGCUGCUUUCUUUCAAAAACAUAAUAUUGUUAUAAAUAUUUUUUUUGAGGUAUUUUUCAAGUCCUUAUUUAGCAAAUUCAUAAUGGAGGUAGAGAUAAAUUGCCCAAUCCGUAAUGCUUUUUGGGAUUGGGCCUAUAAGUAACAUUUGAUAAACAUAGAACAUAGGAAGGUUAAGGCUUUUUACUUGCAUUUAUUGAUAGAAGUUUUUUUCUGCUGCUUGUGAUCACUGAAAGCGUUGAUCUUGGCCUGGAUGUGGUGCGCCUUGUUCUCCAGCGUUUCAAUGUUGGCAUUGCAGUCCCAUAUCUUCUUAGCAGGGCCCAGAGCCAAGCCACACAAGGCGCUUGCCAAGACGCUUGUCAAGGAGCCCACAACCUCCAUGGCUGUAGACCUACAAGUAAAGGUUGUCUCCCUCCCAGAAAGAAGCACAAUAUUAACUCUUGACCUUGUAGAUCGGAAUUCUUCACUUUUUUCACAGCUGUGACUCACUCACUCUAAGAGAUUCACAGUGAGCACCGCAACGAUCGCUACAUCGCUCGCAAGAAACACCUCUAUUUGUACAAACAGACAAACGUGGAGCACGUAAAGUACUUGUGUCUUUGGCCUAAAACGGGCAUCUUAAACGCCAUAGCCAGAAAAUGGACGGCGGAGAUCUUUUGAGCAAGAACCCUAAGCCCCAAUUUCUCUUGGCGAGGCGGCGAGAGAGCGAUGGCGCAGAGAGAUGCGACACGCCCGAGAAGAACAUCGUCUUUUCUCUUGUACGGCGUUGAUCCAGGCGAACGGGAAUAGAGGGCUCCUCUGCCGAUCUUUGAUGGGAUCCGGGCGAUCUUGUCACCGACGUCUUGAAAGAUCUUAGAUUCUAUCCGCAAUCGCCCAGUCAAUGCGAUCCUGGCGAUGGGUGCUCCAUAUCAUUCUAUUCCCGCCCGGACGUGAUCUCCAGGAUUUGCGAAGAAGAAGCUCGUCGAUCAGAUGCGCGAUGCUGGCGCGCAAUUGAUUGGGGCUUCCCGCUACAUUUUCCCGCGCUAUCGUCUCUACUUCUCCAUUCUAGGGUUCUUUCUUGGAGGCGACGUAGGUUUUCUAUUGCCCGCGUGGUCGAGGAGACGGCGCUGGGGGGCGGCCUUGAUCGGCGUUCUGGAGCUACACAGGUAAUGGGGCUCGAAAUAGGAAGAGGCUCCAGCUUAAGGCUCCGACGAGCAGUGCCAAGGCGAGGAGCCCCAGCCAGCGUUACGGUGACAACAAAGGCCCCUGGGGCAAAAUGUUCCAUCGGCAGUGGAUCGCCAAAAACUCCUGCAAAAGCUGAGGCUUCUAGGACAGCAAAAAUUGCCGAGGUGAGCAAUGAUAGUGGAGCAGAGGAUUUAUAUGAUUCGGGAGUAGAAAGUGGAGCAAUCGAUGGUGGGGAAGAAGAGGUAAACAAGAUUAUGACUGGAGGAGGAAACGAUGCCGAGGUGGAAAGAACAACAGUGGUGGAGAGCUCCAUUGAGACUGUCAGGAAACAUGGCGAGGCUGUUUCUAGCGCCUUAGCUGGACUUUCAAUCAGAGGUAGUGCCUUGACCCACGGUAAUCCCGUUAAGAUGAAAGCUGGUUGUGGUUCCGUGAAAGCUGAAGCUUCGGUUUCGAUCGCAGCUGGAUGUGAUCCUAUGAAAGUAGAUGGAUUGGUGAAAAUGGAAGCUGGUUUUGAGUCUGCAAGAGUCGAAGCUCUGGUUGGCUCGGUGAAGAUGGACCCUCGUUAUGAUACUGUGAAACUUGAAACUCCAUUCGGGGGUUGUUUUAGAUGUUGAGAGGUGGUGGCUUCUCCAAGAGACUGAAGUUGCCGGGUACUCGACGUCCAGGGGAUGCCGGAUUCGUGUUGGCGAGUUCAUUUCCUUCAGUUUUCCCAAGCCUGAAGCCGAAAGUAAGAAGAAUUUCUUUGAGCACAAGAAGGUUCGGCCGAAAGUGAGCUCCGAUAUUGUAAGGUUCUUGACAAAAGCUUCAGGAGAGGUACGUUUCACUUGACUUGUUUCUUCGUUUUACUUCUAACCAUUUGCUCACAGAUAGAACGGCUUCCAGCCGACUGCGCCAAGUGUUUGAUACCUUUGGGAAGUGCAAAAUGGCACCAGAGGCUCUUUCUCUUAUGAGCAGCAUAGUUCUCCAUUUGAGGUAGAGUUUUCUGUGUUUACCAGAGACGUUACGUAUAUGAUGUGCUUGCAGAGUUUAUAUCAACAAGUCAGAAGCCUUACGAGGAGGGGGUUGAGCGCGGAUUGAAGCUUCUGCAAGCUAUCUUGAAGCCGGUAAUGCUUCGAAGAACAAAAGAUUCAACUGAUAAAGAAGGAAGGUAAGCAUUUUUUUCUUUGCACCGUGCCUUGUCUUGUAUUCACUCACAAGUUGGAUAAUUCUUGUUCUCCGACCGGCUCAAUGUGAAGUUAUUGAAUGCAAACUAUCUGAGCCUGAACGUGAUUUUUAUGAUGCCCUUUACCACAGAUCUAAGGCAUGAAGAACUUCUCUUUCUUUUAUUUUCUCUUUUUUGUGAACACGUUUUUGCGUUUGUGAUCAGGUAAAAUUCGAUCAGUUCGUUGAACAAGGUAAAGUUCUCCAUAACUAUGCCUCGAUCCUCGAACUGCUACUUCGAUUACGGCAAAGCUUGUGAUCAUCCUUUUCUUGUUCUGAGGUAGAAAAUGCAUCCUCUUAUGUCUGAAGUUCCUGACGUUUUCUUCGUCACGCAGCCGUGGCGAUACUGAAGACUUUGCGGACCUGGGAAAGCUGGCUAGACGUUUCUUGGACAAGAAUUCCUCCCAGGUGCCUUCGACGGCGUAUGUCAAAGAGGUGGUGGAUGAUAUUCGUAAAGGAGAAAGUGCUGAGUGCCCAAUUUGUUUGGAGAUGCACGCAGUUCUUACACCAUGCGCUCAUCGAAUGUGCCGUGAGUGCCUAUUGAAUAGCUGGCGUACUAGCGCCGGAGGUCCCUGUCCAAUAUCCGAGGUAACAUAUUGUUUUAUUUCUCGAGCUCUUUUCCAUAUCCAUAGCUAUCAUGCAGGCGUUCCUGUACGAAAUAGGAACUCAUAACUGUACCAAGAAGUAAUCCAAAGUCGUCCAAAGUCGAGGCUCUGCUGCACCACCUCCAGACGUUAAGUGAGGCCGGGUCGAAAAGCGUUGAUUUUAGUCAGUGGACAGCGUUUCUCGACUUGUUAGAGAUACCAUUGAAAAGGUACGAGCGUCUUUCCUUUUGUGCUUUCUCUUUGUUUGUGUUUCUAACAAUGCACUGCCAGGAAGAACUUCUGUUUCGUCCGCUUGGACGGAACACUAUCGCAGCGUCAGCGAGAACAAGUGCUCAAAAACUUGAGCAAUAUUCCAGCCGUGGCCGUAAGCUUUUUGUGUUGCUUACCUCCAAGAAACCACUCUAUUUUGUGGACAGGUCAUGCUCAUGCCUUUCUCAUGGUACGCGCUAUAGUUUUCUUUUUUAGCCAUCUUCCGAGUCGAGAAUGUGGACGAUCGAGCAUCGGUCAGACGAAGAACGUAUCGAUCAAGCGAUUCAUCGUCAAAGUAAGCGCCACUUGAAACUCUCUUUGACGUUUCUCAUGUCUCUAAAGCAGGAUCGAAGCGAGGAAGCAGCGAUUGAUCGCGGGGGCUCUCACAGACGAAGAGGUGCGAAGCGCUCGAAUCGAGGUGCUCAAAAUGCUAUUUAGAUGAGAAGAACUGGAUUUUUUUAACUUAUAUCAGUGUACAUAGUUAAAGAGGGGAAUAUGCUUCUAGCAUCGGCGCGUAUAUUCUUCGGAUAGUUCAAUGUGUCAUGGAUGUAGGAGCUUUGGGUACAAGCAUUUCUAGGUUUCUUCGCGGCUAUGGCGGACAGCGAAGGAGCAGGCGAUCGCGUCGCAAGCGGCGACGAGCAAGGUAUGCAUGCUAGGAUCGCCUCGAGAAGCAGCAGCAGCGCCAGCGCCGGCGCCGCGCCGCGAUUUCGCUGGCCUAGAGAGCCGGAGUAGCCGAUCUAGAUUCAUGCAAGCAUAUUAUCUCUAGGAAAUUGAGCUGAACGCUGAGGCUUUGCAGGCGAUCGCGUCGAUUCCUCUGGUCUCCGCGGCCGGGGCGGCUAGAAAGCCGGGGCGCAUUCUAGAGUUUCGGGGUUUCUGGGGCGAUCAGUCAUGUAGCGGGUAGAGCCGUUGGUGCGGCUUUUGAGGAGUCCAAACAGAGGCUCCAUAAUCUAGAUGCUUUGGAAGGAGAAGGCGUGACGACCUCUCUAGAUCUUGAGGAGCUACAAAUUGACGGUCACCGUCGUGAGGGUAAAGCUCCACAGUUUUACAAGGUUUGUGCUUGCUUUUUUUCUUUCUCUAUUUUCAUGUGUUUGUAUCUCUGGUUACAGCCGAAGGAGAACCGUUUCAGGACCUCUGAAGAACUAAAGGUAUGCAUAUGCAUAUUCUUAAUAUUGUUAUGUUUUCCAUGUUUUACCAUUUACUCUAUACACCAGAUUUUAAAAUACUCAAAACCACGAGAGUAAAGUAAUAUCCUGAGAAUACGAUUUGUAAGAAAAACAGAAACUGUGUCUUCUCCAAACGCUGCUGACGGCUUGGAAAUCUCUGUUUUUGUUUUUUGAGUGAUGCAAAAUAGUGUAGCAUUUGCGCAGAUCGAGAACCCAAUCGAUGUCCACUGAAGGAGCAAGGUUUAAUCCCAGAAUGUUAUCUGGAGAUCCGGCCGCUCCUCAAGCCAUGGUGGAACUUUCGUACCUUUUUGGCAGCAUAGGACUUUGAGCCUGGGAAAUAAGCCAAGGCCGUGAUCGUCUGAACUCAAUUGGGGCCACACUACAUCAUCAUGAUCAGCGAGCUCAAGAACCUCCAAUCCUGGAAGGGAUGCAAUGGAUGAUGGAAUAUCUUCAAUCCCAGACAAGUGCACACGUCUUAAAAGAGUCAUCUGGUCUGUUGGCUCAAAGAAUUCAUUGGGGAGCUGCCUCAUACAGCCCUUCCACCAAUAUAAUAUGAACAAUUUCACCUUCAGCUGUGAUCUCUCGGUUGGCAUCAAGAGUCUCCUCAUGUAACCUUCUACUCUCAGUCCAUCAAGGUCUUUGGGGAGUUGUGUCACAAAGAGAGGCAAAUGCUCCCAUGUAUUAUCAGGAGCCAGAUAGAAUCUUAACCUCUUCAGGUUUGGAAGACUUGCUGCCAAAUCAUCCUUGAACUUCGACUGUGCAAUGUGCAGAUUUCGAAGCUCCAGCCAUUCGAGGCAUGGGAACGAUCCAUCCAGACUGAAGAACUGGAUACCACUGCAGUCUAGUUGAAGUUGUUGUAGCCGUUGAAAGCCCUUUAGCCAAGACAGGUCUUUCAUUGUCUCAUUGUUUCUGAUCGUUAAAAUUUGUAGCUGUGGCCAUUCAAGGCUUUCGGCAUUGUUUUCACCGUCUUGUACCCCGUCAAUGGUAAAGUCCUGAAGCUGUUUGGAAUUCUUAAACAUUCGCUUCCAGUCAAGUUUGAUACUCGAUUGCACGCUAAUGUCACAUCGUCUUAGAUUGACAAGUUGCCACGGGCCGGUGAAAUCGCCAAAGUCCAUGGUCUUUGCACUCAACUGCAGUUUCUCAAUGUCCACUAGUGCACCAAGGUUGUGAGGUAUUUUUAUUGUUGCACGUUUGAAGUCUAGCUUUAAAUCUCUUAGCUUGUGUAGGCUUGAAAUUCCACUCAAAUCCAUAGCCACAGCUAACUCCUUACAAGAUUCAAGCUCCAGAUGUUCGAGGCAUGGGAACGAUCCAUCCAGACUGAAGAACUGGAUACCACUGCAGUGUAUGUGAAGUUCUCGUAGCCGUUGAAAGCCCUUUAACCAAGACAGUUCUUUCAUUGUCUCAUUGUUUCUCAUCCUUAAAUAUUGGAGCUGUGGCCAUUCAAGGCUUUUGGCAUUGUUUUCAACGUCUUGUACCCCGUGAAUGACAAAGUCCUCAAGCUGUUUGGAAUUCUUAAACAUUCGCGUCCAGUCAAGUUUGAUAGUCGAUACCACCCUAAUGUGACAUCGUCUUAGAUUGACAAGUUGCCACGGGCCGGUGGAAUCGCCAAAGUCCAUGCUCUUUGCCCACAACUCCAGUUUCUCAAUGUCAGGCUGUGAGGUAUUUUUAUUGUUGCAUUGUAGAGUUUUAGCUCUAAAUGUCUUAGUAGGCUUGAAAUUCCACUCAAAUCCACAGCAAACUCCUCAUUGGACUUAAGCUCCAGCUCUUCCAAGUUGAAUAAUUGGGGCAGUAAUGCAAAGUUGAAUUUUCUGAUCUCAUUGCAUUUCAAAACCUUCAGUGAUGUCAAGCUGAAGAGCGCAUCUGGGAAUAUUGUCGUCACAAAUAAAACUCGAAGGUCAAGCACUUGAAGGUUUCUCAGCUUGGAUAUGCUCUCUGGAAUAAAACGGACCAACUUAAAGCAUCUAUUCACGCUCAAUACCUUGACAUUUUGGAUGUGAUCUAUAAUAAGACUGUCAUCCAUUACUUUACAUCCAUCGAGAAGCAAGACAUCUCGCACAUGAAUGCCAGACAAAAAGCUGCUUGUAACCUUCUUUCCAAUGAAUGAAACUUUAGAAAAUGUUGCAGAAAUCCCAGGUGGACAAUCAUAGCCAAACAGGCAUCCCUUCUCGUGCUCUUCCUGGGGUGGGUACUUCCCUUUCAAGAUUCUUAUGCACAGCUUGCGUACCAUAUCGUGCACAGUUACAAACUUAUACCAUCGAAUCUGAUUCUCGAAUCUGAAUCGAUCAUCAGUUGUCUUCACUAGGCAUCUUCGUUCCAGUUCACUAACAAUCUGCAGAGGCGAGAGUUCUGACCCAACCGCUAUCCAACAUUUUCUCAGAUCAUCAAACUCGAUUCGCCGAUCUUCUGGAAACGCAGCCAC
rnacentral:lncRNA from 1 species